rnacentral:lncRNA from 1 species
UUUUGAAAUGUUACAGACAUGCGAACCAUGUCUAUUGGUCUAAACGCAUAAAAGAAACUCCAUGCAGAUGGAUCAUUUGGACUCACUUAAUUUUGAAUCACUUGAGACAUGCAAAUCAUUCCACAUGGGCAAGAUGACUGAAGGCCUCGUUUUCCAGUGAGAUGGAACAAGAAAGUAAAUUAUUGGAAGUAAUACAUUUUGAUGUAUGCAGUCCAAUGAGUGUUGAGGCACGCAGUGGAUAUCAUUAUAUUCUUACUUCACUCAUGAUUUGAGUAGAUGCAAGAGUAUUUGCUUGAUGAAUCACAAGUCUGAAAUAUUGAAAAGUUCAAGCUAUUUUAGAGUGAAGAUCGUCGUGACAAGAGGAUAAUAUGUUUACGAUGUGAUCGUGGAGGUAAAAUCUGAGUUGCGAGUUUGGUAGACAUUGAAAACAACGUGAAAAUUGUUUCACAAUUCAUGCCACGUGGAACACCAUAGUGUGAUGGUGUGUGUGAACACCAUAGUUGCGCCCUAUUGGAUGUGGUGCAUACUAUGAUGUCUCUUAUCGUAUUACCACUAUUGUUUUUGGGCUAGGCAUUAGAGACGACCGCAUUCACUUUAAAUAGGGUACCACAUAAGUCCGUUGAGAUGACACCGUAUGAACUAUGGUUCGGAGAAACCUAAGCUGACGUUUCUUAAAAGUUUGGGGCUAUGACGCUUAUGUGAAAAAGUUUCAGCGUGAUAAGCUCGAACCCAAAGCGGAUAAAUGCAUCUUCAUAGGACACACAAAACAGUUGGGUAUACCUCCUAUCUCAGAUCCAGAAGAAAAGUGUUUGUUUCUAGAAACGGGUCCUUUCUCGAAAAAAGUUUCUCUCGAAAGAAUUGAGUGGGAGGAUGGUGGAACUUGAUGAGGUUUUGAACCAUCACUUCAACCAUAGAGUAGAAGGCCGCAGGAAACUAUUCUUAUGGCGCCUACACUAGUUGAAGUGGAAGCUAGUGAUGGUGAUCAUUAAGCUUCAGAUCAAGUUACUUCGAAACCUCGUAGGUCGAAAGGGACACACACUACUCCAGAGUGGUACGGUAACUCUGUCUUAAAGGUCAUGUUGUUAGACAACAAUGAACCUACGAGCUAUGGAGAAGCGAUGGUGGGCCUGGAUUCCGACAAAUGGUCGAAGGUCAUGAAAUCCGAGAGAGGAUCCAUGUGUGAAAACAAAGUGUAGACUUUGGAAGAACUACUUGAUGGUCGUAAGGCUGUUGGGUACAUAUGGACUUUUAAAAGGAAGACGGACAAAUGGUUGGAGGCCAUGAAAUCUGAGAGAGGAUCCAUGUAUGAAAACAAAGUGUGGACUUUGGAAGAACUACUUGAUGGUCGUAAGACUGUUAAGUACAGAUGGAUCUUUAAAAGGAAGACAAACGAUGAUGGUGAAAAGUCACCAUUAAGAAAGCUCAACUUGUCGCAAAGAUGUUUCCGACAAGUUCAAAGAGUUGACUAUGAUGAGACUUUCUCACUCGCAGCGAUGCUAAAAGUUUUGUUGGAAUUAUGUUAGAAGUUGCUGCAUUAUUUAUGAAAUCUUGCAAAUAGGAUGUCAAAACAUUGUUUCCUCGAUGGUUUCCUUGAGGAAAGGUUGUAUGUGAUACAACCAGAAGGUUUUGUCGAUCCUAAGGAUGAUAACCAGUAUGCAAGCUCCAGCAAUCCUUCUAAGGACUGGAGUAAGCAUCUCAGAGUUGGAAUAUGCGCUUUGAUGAGAUGAUCAAAGCUUUUGGGUUUAUACAAAGUUUAUGAGAAACUUGUAUUUCCAAUAAAGUGAGUGGGAGCACUAUAGAAUUUCUGAUAAGUAUAUGUGAUCAGAAAUAAUGUACAAUUUCUGGAAAGCAUAAAGGGUUGUUUGAAAGGAGUUUUUCAAAGGAAAACCUCGAUUGAGCUACUUGAACAUUGAGCUUAAUAGAACUUUCAAAUGAAUAUAUACUGUAACAAGAUUUUGAAGGAGUUCAAAAUAGAUCAGUCAAAGAAAGAGUUCUUGGUUGUGUUAUAAGGCGUGAGUAUUGAGUAAGACUCAAAAUCCGACCACGGUGGAAGAAAGAGAAAGGACGAAAGUCGUCCCCUAUGCACUAGCCGUAGGCUCUAUAGUAUGAUAUGUUGUGUACCGCACCUGAUGUGUGCCUUGGAAUGAAUCUGCCAAGGGGCAAAGAAGUGAUCCAGGAAUGGAUUACUGGACAACGGCCAAAAGUUGUCCUUAGUAACUAGUGGACUAAGGAAUUUUUUCUCGGUUAUGGAGGUGAUAAAAGAGUUCGUCGUAAAGGGUUACAUCAAUGAAGCUUUGACACUAAUUCAGAUGACUCUGAGUAGUAAACCGGAUUCGUAUAGUGGAGCAGUCAUUUGGAAUAGUUCCAAAUGGCGCGUGGGAGCAACAUCUACAGGACGACAUAGAGAUUUGUAAAGCACACACGAAUCUAAAAGGUUCAGACCCGUUGACUAAAAACCUCACUCACAAGCAAGAUAUGAUCAAACCCCAUGGGUGUUAGAUUCAUUGCAAUCACAUAGUGAUGUGAACUAGACUAUUGACUCUAGUGCAAGUGGGAGACUGUUGGAAAUAUGCCCUAGAGGCAAUAAUAAAUUGGUUAUUAUUAUAUUUUCUUGUUCAUAAUAAUCGUUUAUUAUAUAUGCUAGAAUUGUAUUGAUUGGAAACCCAAAUACAUGUGUGGAUACAUAGACAACAUACUGUCCCUAGUGAUCCUCUAUUUGACUAGCUCGUUGAUCAAAGAUGGUCCAGGUUUCCUGGCCAUAGACAAGUGUUGUCACUUGAUAAUGAGAUAACAUCAUUAGGAUAAAGAUGUGAUGGACAAGACCCAAACUAUGAACGUAGCAUAUAAUCGUGUCAAUUUAUUGCUAUUGUUUUCUCGAUGUCAAUGUAUUUGUUCCUAUGACCAUGAGAUCAUGUAACUUCCAGACACCGGAGGAGUACCUUGUGUGUAUCAAAUGUCUCAACGUAACUGUGUGACUAUAAAUGUGCUCUACAGGUAUCUCCGAAGGUAUCUAUUGGGUUAGCAUGGAUCAAGACCGGGAUUUGUCACUCCGUGUGACGGAGAGGUAUCUCGGGGCCCACUCGGUAAUACAACAUCACAAUAAGCCUUGCAAGCAAUGUGACUAAGGAGUUAGUCACGGGAUCUUGUAUUAUGGAACGAGUAAAGAGACUUGCGAGUAACGAGAUUGAACUAGGUAUAGAGAUACCGACAAUCGAAUCUCGAGCAAGUAACAUACCGAAGGACAAAGGGAACAACAUACGAAAUUAACUGAAUCCUUGACAUAGAGGUUCAACCGAUAAAGAUCUUUGUAGAAUAUGUAGGAGCCAAUAUGGGCAUCCAGGUCCCGUUGUUGGCUAUUGACCAGAGAAUGUCUCAGUCAUGUUUACAUAGUUCUUGAACCCGUAGGGUCUGCACACUUAAGGUUCAUUGACGUUUCGGUAUUAUUGAGUUGUGUGUGUUGGUAAAAAAAAGUUGUUCGGAGUCCUGGAUGAGAUCCUGGACAUCACGAGGAGCUCCGUAAUGGUCCGGAGGUAAAUAUUGAUAUAUAGGAAAGUUGCAUUUGGCUUCUGGAAAGUUUUCGGGCAUUACCGGUAAAGUACCGGGAGUGACGAAUGGGUCCCGGGGUUUUACCGGGAGGUGCCACCCACCCGAGAGAGAACAUAAUAGGCCUGAAGAUGGUGCACCAUCCCUUAGUGGGCUAGUGUGGCCAGCCCAAGAGGGCCUAUUUCGUCCAAGGAGCAAAAGAAGGGGAAAAUCCCCAAAGGAGAGGAGGUUUCCAAGUAGGAGGAGUCCUACUUGGAGUAGGAUUGGAGGUGGACUCUUCCACCUCCACGUAUUCGGCCGAGCCAAGUAUUUGCUUUUUGGCUGCCUCCUCCCCUCCCUCCCUCCUAUAUAUACUAGAGGGUAGAGAGGCUUUUUGCACCUCAAGCCAAGGCGCAACCCUCUCUCCCUCUAGAUCGUUUACUCCUCUUGGUUAGUUCCGCAAAAGCUUGGCGAAGCCCUACUGGAUUAGUUCACCACCACCACCACCACACCGCCAUGUUGGAGAACUCAUCUACCUCUCCGCUCCUCUUGCUGGAUCGAGAAGGCGGUGAUCGUCAUCAAGUCGUACAUGUGCUGAACAUGGAGCUGUCGUUCGUUCAGCACUCGAUCGGGAUGAUUCGUGAUGAGAUCGCGAGACGGACUGCGAUUUGGAUCGCGAAGAUGUUCAACUACAUCAACCGCGUUAUAUACGCUUCCGCUUAGCGAUCUACAAGGGUAUGUGGUGUUGGAAAUAUGCCCUAGAGGCAAUAAUAAAUUAGUUAUUAUUAUAUUUCUUUGUUCAUGAUAAUCGUUUAUUAUCCAUGCUAUAAUUGUAUUGAUUGGAAACACAAUACUUGAAAGGAUCGAUAUGGUUGGCUAGACGGAGGGGGUGAAUAGACAACGACCACUUUUUAAUUAAUCUUAACAAGUUAAGGUAAACACUAUACGGGUUCACAAAUAAUAUGACAAAGAGGUGAACCCUAUAGAAGCUAACAACUAGAGCUAUUAAGACAAGUAAGAUAUAGUCACAAGCAUAAGCAAAUACAAAGUAAAGGUUAGAGAUAACCACAAGUGGAACCGAUGGAGACGAGGAUGUGUUACCGAAGUUCCUUCCCUUUGACAUGAAGUACUUCUCCGUUGGAGCGGUGUGGAGGCACAAUGCUCCCCAAAAAGCCACUAAGGCCACCGUAUUCUCCUCACGCCCUCGCACGAUGCAAGGUACCGUGAUUCCACUAUAGGUGCCCUUGAAGGCGGCGACCGAACCUUUACAAACAAGGUUGGGGCAACUCCACACAAAGCUUGGAGGCUCCCAACUAAACCACGAAGCUUCACCACAAUGGAAUAUGGCUUCGAGGUGACCUCAACCGUCUAGGAUGCUCAAACACCCAAGAGUAACAAGAUCCGCAAGGGAUUGGUGGGGGAAUCAACUUUUCUCUUGGUGGAAGUGUGGAUCUAGGCCUUCUCAACCAAUCCCUAAAGAAUCAACAAGUUUGAUUGGCUAGGGAGAGAGAUCGGGCACUUUAGAGCUUGUGGAGCAACAAUGGAGCUUAGAGAGGUAAGAGAUAGGGUUCCUCAGCUAGAAGAACCCUUUAUAUAGUGGGGGGGGAAUCAGACCGUUUUCCCACUCUCUGCCCGAGUACCAGCGGUACUACCGCUGUGCCGGAGCGGUACUACCGCUGGGCCUCCAGCGGUACUACCGCUGAGCCUCCAGCGGUACUACCGCCGGCCCCUUGGUAGUGCACAAGGACUACUACCUCCGGGAAAGUCUUCGCAAAAGGGUCCGUCCACAAACUACCGCUAGGUAGGUGGAACAAAACACCUGGAGCGGUACUACCGCUGACCAGGGGCGGUACUACCGCUGGCUGCAGCGGUACUACCGCUGGCAGUCCAGCGGUACUACCGCUGGGGACCAUUUUGCAGAGAUAAACGAGACGAAUAGGCGAGGGCUGCUCCAAAAGAUAAGGAAAGGGAGAAUGUGAAGUGUGCGUGUGUAAAGAUAGAUUCCACCCAAACCUUUCCACUACGGAUCCCCUCUUAAUAGUACGGGUUUCCUAUGACUCAAAUAAAGAGAAUCGUAGAGAGCGCCGUGCUUCCGUUCCUGAAGAGAGGAGACGUGUCGUCUUGUGCCGUUGACGAGUGUUACCUGAAACUUUGACACACACGGUUAGUCCUGUACGGUACUGUCAUCAAUCACCAAAAUUACUUAGGCAUAAACUAUGCCCCAACAAUACUUGUGUGGAUACAUAGACAAAACACUGUCCCUAGUAAGCCUNNNNNNNNNNAAUGUAGAAUUUAUGUAAAGCAUACAAGGUUGUUUGAAAGGAGUUUUCAAAGGAAUACCUGGAUUGAGCUACUUGAACGUUGAGCAUCAAAAGAUCUAUGGAGAUAGAUCGAAAGCGCUUAAUGGAAGUUUCAACAAGAUGCAUGCCUUGACAAGUUUUUGAAGGAGUUCAAAAUAGAUCAGCAAAGAACGAGUUCUUAGUUGUGUUGUAAGGUGUGAAUUUGAGUAAGACUCAAAACCCGACCACGGCAGAAUAAAGAGAAUAGACGAAGGUCGUCUUCUAUGCCUUAGCCGUAGACUCUAAAGUAUGCCAUGCUGAGUACCGCACCUGAUGUGUGCCUUGCAACAAGUCUGUUAAGAGCUACACAGAGUGAUCCAGGAUUGAAUCACUGAUCAGCGGUCAAAGUUAUCCUUAGUAACUAAAUAGACUAAGGAAUUUUUCUCGAUUAUGGAGGUGCUUAAAGAGUUCGUCGUAAAGGGUUACGUCGAUGCAAGCUUUGACACUAAUCCGAAUAACUAUGAGUAGUGAAACGGAUUCGUAUAGUAGAGCAGAUAUUUGGAGUAUUUCCGAAUAGCACAUAGUAGCAGCAUCUAUAAGAUGACAUAAAGAUUUGUAAAGAACACACGGAUCUGAAAGUUUCAGAACCGUUGACUAAAACCUCCCUCAAGAGCAAGACGUGAUCAGACCCCAUAACUAUAUGGGUGUUGGAUUCGUUGGAAUCACAUGGUGAUGUGAACUAGAUUAUUGACUCUAGUGCAAGUGGGAGACUGUUGGAAAUAUGCCCUAGAGGNNNNNNNNNNNNNNNNNNNNNNNNNNNNNNNNNNNNNNNNNNNNNNNNNNNNNNNNNNNNNNNNNUAUUGGAAACACAAUACUUGUGUGGAUACAUAGACAAAACACUGUCCCUAGUAAGCCUCUAGUUGACUAGCUCGUUGAUCAAAGAUGGCCAAGGUUUCCUGGCCAUAGGCAAUUGUUGUUACUUGAUAACGGGAUCACAUCAUUAGGAGAAUCAUGUGAUGGACUAGACCCAAACUAAUAGACGUAGCAUGUUGAUCGUGUCAUUUUGUUGCUACUGUUUUCUGCGUGUCAAGUAUUUGUUCCUAUGACCAUGAGAUCAUAUAACUCACUGACACCGGAGGAAUACUUUGUGUGUAUCAAACGUCGCAACGUAACUGGGUGACUAUAAAGAUGCUCUACACGUAUCUCCGAAGGUGUUAGUUGAGUUAGUAUGGAUCAAGACUGGGAUUUGUCACUCCGUGUGACGGAGAGGUAUCUCGGGGCCCACUCGGUAAUACAACAUCACACACAAGCCUUGCAAGCAAUGUGACUUAGUGUAAGUUACGAGAUCUUGUAUUACGGAAUGAGUAAAGAGACUUGCCGGUAAACGAGAUUGAAAUAGGUAUGCGGAUACUAACGAUCGAAUCUCAGGCAAGUAACAUACCGAAGGACAAAGGGAAUGACNNNNNNNNNNGUUGAAAUAGGUAUACAGAUACUGACGAUCGAAUCUCGGGCAAGUAACAUACCGAAGGACAAAGGNNNNNNNNNNGGAUCUUGUAUUAUGGAACGAGUAAAGCGACUUGCCGGUAAACGAGAUUGAAAUAGGUAUGCGGAUACUGACGAUCGAAUCUCAGGCAAGUAACAUACCGAAGGACAAAGGGAAUGACAUACGGGAUUAUAUGAAUCCUUGGCACUGAGGUUCAAACGAUAAGAUCUUCGUAGAAUAUGUNNNNNNNNNNUGAGUAAAGAGACUUGCCGGUAAAACAAGAUUGAAAUAGGUAUACGGAUACUGACGAUCGAAUCUCGGGCAAGUAACAUACCGAAGGACAAAGGGAAUGACAUACGGGAUUAUACGAAUCCUUGGCACUGAGGUUCAAACGAUAAAGAUCUUCGUAGAAUAUGUAGGAUCCAAUAUGGGCAUCCAGGUCCCGCUAUUGGAUAUUGACCGAGGAGUCUCUCGGGUCAUGUCUACAUAGUUCUCGAACCCGCAGGGUGUGCACACUUAAGGUUCAACGUUGUUUUAUGCGUAUUUGAGUUAUAUGGUUGGUUACCGAAUGUUGUUCGGAGUCCCGUAUGAGACCACGGACGUCACGAGGGUUUCCGGAAUGGUCCGGAAACGAAGNNNNNNNNNNNNNNNNNNNNNNNNCUGUUCGGAGUCCCGGAUGAGAUCACGGACGUCACGAGGGUUUCCGAAUAGUCCGGAAACAAAGAUUGAUAUAUAGGAUGACCUCAUUUGAUUACCGGAAGGUUUUCGGAGUUACCGGGAAUGUACCGGGAAUGACGAAUGGGUUCCGGGAGUUCACCGGAGGGGGGCAACCCACUCCGGGGAAGCCCAUGGGCAUUUGGGGGGGUCACACCAGCCCUUAGUGGGCUGGUGGGACAGCCCACCAAUCCCCUAUGCGCCAAGAGAGAAAAAAUCAAAGGAAAGAAAAAAAGGGAAGAAGUGGGAAGGGGGAAGGACUCCCUCCCACCAAACCAAGUAGGACUCGGUUUGGGGGGGAGAGUCCUCCCCCCUGGCUCGGCCGACCCCUUGGGGAUCCCUUGGACCCCAAGGCAAGGUCCCCCUCCCUCCUCCUAUAUAUAUGNNNNNNNNNNGCAACCCACUCCGGGGAAGCCCAUAGGCUUUUGGGGGACACACCAGCCCUUAGUGGGCUGGUGGGACAGCCCCAAGGGAGCCUAUGCGCCAAGAUAAGAAAAUCAAAGGAAAAGAAAGAAAAAAGAGGGAAGAAGUGGGAAGGGAGGGGGACUCCUCCCACCAAACCAAGUCCAACUCGGUUUGGGGGGGGAGUCCUCCCCCCCCUUGGCUCGGCCGACCCCUUGGAAGUCCCUUGGACCCCAAGGCAAGGUCCCCCUCCCUCCUCCUAUAUAUAUGGGGCUUUUAGGGCAGAUUUGAGACGACUUUCUCACGGCUGCCCGACCACAUACCUCCAUAGUUUUUCCUCUAGAUCGUGUUUCUGCGGAGCUCGGGCGGAGCCCUGGUGAGACAAGAUCAUCACCAACCUCCGGAGUGCCGUCACGCUGCCGGAGAACUCUUCUACCUCUCCGUCUCUCUUGCUGGAUCAAGAAGGCCGAGAUCAUCGUCGAGCUGUACGUNNNNNNNNNNNNNNNNNNNNNNNNNNNNNNNNNNNNNNNNNNNNNNNNNNNNNNNNNNNNNNNNNNNNNNNNNNNNNNNNNNNNNNNNNNNNNNNNNNNNCUUCGUGCGCGUAGGAAUUUUUUUGUUUCCCAUGCGACGUUCCCCAACAGUGGCAUCAUGAGCUAGGUUCAUGCGUAGAUGUCUUCUCGAGUAGAACACAAAAGGUUUUGUGGGCGGUGAUGUGCGUUUUGCUGCCCUCCUUAGUCUUUUCUUGAUUCCGCGGUAUUGUUGGAUUGAAGCGGCUUGGACCGACAUUACUCGUACGCUUACGAGAGACUGGUUUCAUCGUUACGAGUAACCGCCUUUGCUCAAAGAUGACUGGCAAGUGUCGGUUUCUCCAACUUUAGUUGAAUCGGAUUUGACCGAGGAGGUCCUUGGAUGAGGUUAAAUAGCAACUCAUAUAUCUCCGUUGUGGUGUUUGCGUAAGUAAGAUUCGGUCCUACUAGAUACCCUUGGUCACCACGUAAAACUUGCAACAACAAAAUUAGAGGACGUCUAACUUGUUUUUGCAGGGUAUGANNNNNNNNNNNNNNNNNNNNNNNNNNNNNNNNNNNNNNNNNNNNNNNNNNNNNNNNNNNNNNNNCUUGUGAUGUGAUAUGGACAGCGAUGUGAUGUGAUAUAUUGGAUGUAUGAGAUGAUCAUGUUGUAAUAGAUAAUAUCGACUUGCACGUCGAUGGUACGCAACCGGCAGGAGCCAUAGGGUUGUCUUUAUACUAACGUUUGUGCUUGNNNNNNNNNNCGUCGAUGGUACGGCAACCGGCAGGAGCCAUAGGGUUGUCUUUAUACUAACAUAUUCGUGCUUGCAGAUGCGUUUACUAUUUUGCUAGGAUGUAGCUUUAGUAGUNNNNNNNNNNUGUCGAUGGUACGACAACCGGCAGGAGCCAUAGGGUUGUCUUUAUACUAACGUUUGUGCUUGCAGAUGCGUUUACUAUUUUGCUAGGAUGUAGCUUGAGUAGUAAUAGCAUAAGUAGCACGACAACCCCGAUGGCAACACGUUGAUGGAUGAUCAUGGUGUGGCGCCGGUGACAAGAAGAUCGUGCCGGUGCUUUGGUGAUGGAGAUCAAGAAGCACGUGAUGAUGGCCAUAUCAUGUCACUUAUGAAUUGCAUGUCAUGUUAAUCCUUUUUAUGCACCUUAUUUUGCUUAGAACGACGGUAGCAUUAUGAGGUGAUCUCUCACUAAAAUUUCAAGACGAAAUUGUGUUCUCCCCGACUGUGCACCGUUGCUACAGUUCGUCGUUUCGAGACACCACGUGAUGAUCGGGUGUGAUAGACUCAACGUUCACAUACAACGGGUGCAAAACAGUUGCGCACGCGGAACACUCGGGUUAAGCUUGACGAGCCUAGCAUGUGCAGACAUGGCCUCGGAACACAUGAGACCGAAAGGUCGAGCAUGAAUCGUAUAGUUGAUAUGAUUAGCAUAGAGAUGCUUACCACUGAAACUAUUCUCGACUCACGUGAUGANNNNNNNNNNNNNNNNNNNNNNNNNNNNNNNNNNNNNNNNNNNNNNNNNNNNNNNNNNNNNNNNNNNNNNNNNNNNNNNNNNNNNNNNNNNNNNNNNNNNGGAGAGGAUCCAGCGCUACUCACAAGUUAGCAGUAGCUCCGGUGCGGAUCCAGCGCUACUGCUAGAUUUAGUUAACCGGCUAACUCGAUCACCUCUCCCCCACUCCUUCCCUCUCCGUUCGACCGGCCCUCUCUCCCUCUCGCCUGUGAUCCAGCGCGCUGCUUCUUCCCUCUCCGCCACUGACUCCCUCCAAGUGUCGUCGUGCCACCUCCACACGUCGCCGCCCCUCCAAGCGCCGCCGGGCCACCUUCAUGCGCCGUUGUUCGACCACCUCCCCUCCCGCUCCGGUAAGCCCCCCGCCCCCUCCUCCCUACCGCCUCGCUCGCCCACCCUAGCACCACACCGCACGCCUCCCCCUGUCGUGGACGCCCCCGUUGACCGUGGACGCAACAUUUUCACCUAAAGUUUGUUCAAAGGUUAUUCAAUCCAUCUAAAGUAAUAUAUGUGGAUAGGAGAUAGUAGUAGUGUUUAUCAGUAAUUUUGGUAUGAGGAUCUACCAAUGCAUCUAGGGGUUAAGAGACUUAGUGAAGAUGGGGUGGUUGCUGACCUAGGGCAUGUAAGAAUGUUUGGGGGGAAUUUUUGCAAUAUGGUUAGGCAUGAGAGGUUGUUCAUAAUAUUCUCUGUUUUACCCCAUCUUUUGUACUUGUUCAUUGUUGCUAUAUCCUAGUGGCCUAUGUUUUGUCGGAAUGUUGAUUCAUUUCCGUUCCGGAAAAUUUCAAACGCUCCAUAUAUCCACUUUUUAGUAAAUGUCAUGCCCAAAUUUUUUCUGUUUUAGGAAAUGUCUGACGACGAAGGGGAAUUCGUUAUGUGCGAAUACUGCCAAGACAAGCGCGGCCUUUGCGACACGCCUUGCCUAGUUGAUGAUAGGCGCUUCAGCAUCAUGCUGGAUGAGGACUUUGAAGUGGAUACAGUAAGUCACAACGACAAGUCCACUUGAUAGGCUUGAAAAGCAUCUUUGUAUGCGAUGGUGCUCUUCCAGAUCUCUGUAUGGCAGUUGGUCUCUUUUUUUUCCGACAUUGCUAUGGUGGUGUCGGAGGAUAUUUGUGGACUAUGUUUCGAUGAGGCACAAGUUUCUUCAAGGAUGAAAUAGUAAUUUUACUUCAUGUGGAACUCUUUGUGCAAAGUUGUUGACAAGCAUGUUUAUCUCUUAUGAUGACCAUAUGUGUAAUUUUUGUGAACAAAUUAUCUAAUGAAAUACUCCCUCCAUCCGGAAAUACUUGUUUUAAAAAUGAAUAUAAUGAAUGUAUCUAUAACUAAAAUAAGUCUAGAUACAUUUAUCUUUAGGAUAAUUAUUUCCGGACGAAGGUAGUACGAUGUUGCUUAAAAAAGACGCCCAUCGAAUUCAGAAAGAGACAAUACCAAAAGGCUAAAACUGGAAAGACGAUACCUCCUAAAAGUGCCAAAACUAGAAGGAUCAGCAAUCCCCACUCAUGUGCAAUAAACAGUCUAGAACUUCGACUCUUCUUAACGACAUAAACAAUAAUUGAGCCUGAAAGAUUGGCAUCGCCGCCCGACAAAUGAAACAAUGAACUCUCACUCACCAUGUACUCUUGCUUCAGUUGAGCGCCGUGGGAAAGCUCAAUCAGCAAAGCUAAUCAAAGCGUUUUUAGAACGUACCACCACACCUUUUGAUGGCAGCUAGGGCAUGUUGAAGCAUUUAUAUUGAUUUUUUUUCUUCAAUGCAACCUAUUACUAGUGGGCAUCAUCAAGGGGAAAAAAACUCUGAUCUACAUGCAUCUCUAUUUUUUACUUUAACUUUUCAGCUUUUUACAUCGAAUUACAUCUUUUCUUCCUAAGCACCGCCUCUUGCUGGAUCCCGCUACACCAUCCGAGACCAUACACGAUCCUACAUGGCAUGUGGGACAUCAUUUUGAGGCUAUGCAUUGGGCAUGCACUUAUGCCCUUGAUUGCAUCACACCAUACGGAGCACACAUGAAGGAUGGGAAGACUUUCGCCGACAAGCAAAGUGGACUCGGGUAACACGGUGUAUACACCGACACUGGGGGCUAAUUUUUGUGUUAUGACCCUUUUAUGAAAAAUGAUCGAGAUCUAACCUAGUUUGUAAAAAAAAUAGGUUCUGAUCAUUUUCCUAUCAUCGGGAUCCAUGACGAUAAGGUACAACGGCCUACCGCCGGGGUCCAUGACGAUAGAGUAUAGCAACCUACUGUCAAGGUUCCUCGCAGUAGGGAUGUACGCCCUACCGUAAAAAUUUCCUAAGCAUCGGAUACAAUGCGUGUUCGCACCUACAGUCGAGCACCUCGAUGAUAGGGUUGUAUAGACUACCGUCAACUUAUUUGACGAUAGAGGUGCGUCGCGCUCACUUUAAUAAGUUUUCUACGGACACCGAUGGUAGGAAAAAAAGUCAGAUCUCAAAAUUUUUACAAACCAGAGUCAGAUCUCGCUCAACUUCUGUAAAAGGGUCAAAAGGCAUGGAUUGUUUUCUCGGACAUCUGAUACGCGUGUGCUUUAAAGCAUCUAUAGUCGGACCCCUCCUAUCCAUCUCAAACGUCCGGGUAGGCUAUCCGGUUACUAGUCGUUCACAAAAAAUCAAUCUCUAAUAUGAAGACGGUAUGAGGGCUCGCAAACGCGCCCGGGCACGCCCGAUCAGUCCGCCACCUCGGACGUGACCCCAUUCCGGACCACCUUUUCUCUUUGUUUAUUUAUUAUUUCAUUAUUUAUUUCUCUCCCUUCUUCAUCAAUCACGUGCAACUGAUCGGACAGAUGAGGAAAAAUAUGAUUAUACGGAUGAAAAAAUAGAGGCUCAAAAUGAACACGCUCGGUCACUGACCGGACGCGUCCACGAAUGCUUGAGGAACCGGAUUUAGAGCAAGUAUAAUAAGAUACAGACAACAGGCUGUAAGGAUUAAAAUACUAUAUUUUUGCUGAGUUGGAUGAGAGAGAAGAGGAGAGAGAAGGGAAGCGGGCUCUUCGUGAAGAGUCAGCUCUAGCACGUGCUCCUAGGUGCUUUGUGAGAAUGAAAGGUGAGCCAUAUAUGAUAAAAGUAGUACUCCCUCCAUCACAGUUUAUAAGGCGUGCACGCGUACUUAGGUCGUCAAUUUGACUUAUAUAAAAUAUAUUGUUUAACAUAAAAAAUAUAUUAUUAGAAAAUAGAACAUCUAAAGUUUCUAAUGAUAUAUUUUUUGUAAUAUAUGUCUCUUAUUAAAUUGAUCAAAUAAACGACCUAGAUACACGUGCCGGACUUAGAGCAUCUCUAGUGGAUGGUGUAUAUUUGAACGUGUAUAUCUUCAUAUACACGUCCAUAUACACGGCGUGGAAAUUAUACACGUCCUAGUUUUUCAGUGAAACGUGUAAAUUAGGACGUGUAUAUUCCCCUCAUUCUUUCCCCCUCUGCAAGAUAAGAGAUUCAGUAGUGCACACAGGUUCAGAGAACAAGACAGGGGAGCUUCGCCGCAUUGCAGCCGUCUCCCUCGUCGCCGGCAGCCUUCCCCGUGGCAUCCAAGAUGUCCAUGGACUCGAGGGUGCCUCCCUCGUUCCAUUCCCAUCGCUAGGGUGACCGGUGGGCCACCACAGCGACGGCACCAACCUCGUCUCCGACGAGUACCCGGAGCCAAAGCCCUGCAGCAGGAGGAGGAGCCCCCGUGCUCCAGCCAGCCAUUUCGGCGCCCGACGCAGCCCCUGUCCCGGCCUUGCCUGAGGAGGAGCAGCAACUGCGGGGCGGACGGGAACCCUAGAGGCCUCGCACCUCCGAGAUCCGUCCGAACUGGGGGUGAGGACGGCGCGGCCGGGCCGCAAGCGGCGUGGGCGGGACGGGCAGGCGUCCGGGCACAGGGAGCCCUGGCCUUGCUUCUCAGGGAGGAGGAGGCGGCGGUGGGCCGGCGGGCGGCGGUGGGCCGGCGGGCGGCGGCCGGAGGAAGGGGGAGGGGAGACCGGAGGCGGCUGCGCGGCCUUGCUCCUCAGGGAGGAGGAGCCCCCUACUCCAGCGCCACCGCCAGCCCGCACCCCGCAGCGNNNNNNNNNNNNNNNNNNNNNNNNNNNNNNNNNNNNNNNNNNNNNNNNNNNNNNNNNNNNNNNNNNNNNNNNNNNNNNNNNNNNNNNNNNNNNNNNNNNNNNNNNNNNNNNNNNNNNNNNNNNNNNNNNNNCACGACGAGUAGCCUCGUGGAUGGACGUGUAUAACUUCCACGCCCGUAUACACGUUCCACUGGGAGGCAUUUUUCUGUUAGCAACGUGUAUAUUUACCAUCCACCUCCAUAUACACCAUCCACUAGAGAUGCUCUUAUAAACUGAAACGGAGGAAGUACUUUUUUAUAGCUAACUAUUGUACAAGCUAGCUAUAAGAUUGACUAUAAGAUGGCUUAUAGCCAGCAGUUGACUAUACUGUUAACCAUGCUCUUACAAGUUCCAUCCGUAGAUGCUCUAGGCAUGGCACGACGACGUAUGUCGUUGGGACAGUCUUAGAGCAUCUCUAGUGGAACGUGUAUACACCUUGCUAAAUUUUACACCUCCCAGUUUUUCAGUGGAACGUGUAUACAGGACGUGGAAAUCAGGACGUGUAUAUUCCAACGGCUAUAUUUUCAAACGGCUAUAUUUUCAACGGCUAUAUUUUCAACGGCCAUAUUUCUGGUCUAUAUAAACCGCCCCAAUCACCUCUCUUCCAGCAUUUCUAGUUGUGCCUCAUCUUCUCACUUCUAGAUUUCUCUAUCGUCUCUCACACAACACAAUGAACACAUUCUCUUGGGACAUGAGUUCUUCAUCAUCUUCAUCGGGCGACGAUGAACUCAUACUUGCGGCAUUAGCCGAUCGCGAGGAGGAAGAGAGGAUGAACACUCGACGCCAUGGCGGUUCCAUGCAUGGACGUCAGUCAAUCGAUCGAGGAAGAGAUGCCGGAUUUCUUCUUCUCUGGAACGACUAUUUCAAAGAAGUUCCUCGCUUUUCCGAACAUUUGUUUCGACGAAGGUUCGUAAUUAGUACACUUCUCUGCUUUGGUUCUUUUUUCAUUUCCCCGUCUCAUUGACUUUUUAUGCAUAGAUUUAGGAUGUCGCGUACUUUGUUCAACCGCAUAGCUGAUGGUAUACUUGAACAUGACUAUGAUGGUUAUUUUACGCAAAAAAGAAGUGCUUCUGGAGCUCUUGGGUUACAUCCUCUACAAAAGAUGACCGCGGCAAUGCGGAUCCUCACAUAUGGAAUAGCAACUGAUGGUGUUAAUGAGUACAUCGGGUCCGCUGAGGCUACUAAUUUAGAGUCUUGCAAGAAAUUUGUGAUCAAAGUUUGUGAAGUUUCUGAGGAAAAGUACAUGAGAUCUCCAAAUGAAGAAGACAUUGCUAGGUUACUUGCAAUAGGUGAGGAAAGAGGAUUACCUACAAUACUGCCAGUGAUAUGCACAAACAAUACAGAAGUGAGAACACGAAUUGUUCUCCUUGCCUACAAUAUUGCCAGUGAUUGAUUCCCCCCAUAAUUCACUUCUAUUGCAUUCUUGAAGCAGCAGCAGCGGGUUCNNNNNNNNNNNNNNNNNNNNNNNNNNNNNNNNNNNNNNNNNNNNNNNNNNNNNNNNNNNNNNNNNNNNNNNNNNNNNNNNNNNNNNNNNNNNNNNNNNNNNNNNNNNNNNNNNNNNNNNNNNNNNNNNNNNNNNNNNNNNNNNNNNNNNNNGUGCGCCCCAGACCUCUCUGGAAUGGAAAAUAGAAGGGAGGGAGAGAGCUUACCAGAGGGGAGUGGUCGCCGGCGAGCUUCGAUGGCCUUUGGACGGAGGCGGGAGCAGCUUGUUUCCCUUUCCACUAGCGUGGCCGAGCCGUGUGUAUUUGCACGAGAAGUAGCGUUGUGGAUGGACAUGUAAAACUUCCACGUCCGUAUACACGAUCCACUGGGAAGUGUUUUUCAGUUUUCAUAGUAUAUAUUUAGUUUUCAUAGUAUAUAUUUACCAUCCAUCCGUAGAUGCUCUAACAAGUUCCAUCCGUAGAUGCUCUAGGCAUGGCACAACGACGUAUGUCGUUGGGACAGCCGAACGACAGGCGUGUGGCGCAGUCAGGGGGUGGGGUGCCUAGAGAGGCCUACACGCCGCGUGAACCCCAGCUUUUCCGUUGUUGGGCGAACCCCUCCGCCCCUCACCACCGAAGGAGCCCUCCGGAAAAGGCCAACUCCGGGAGCUUUCCUUUGCCCCCCACGCCACGCGGAAAGCGAAAGAGGUUAGCUAGCUUUCCAGCUCCAAAGUUGCAAGUGCGACGCCGCCCGCCCAUGGGUGGACGGACGGGUGGCGGCCUUCAGGUUCAGGUUUAGGCGGGCGGCCACCGGCCUGGCCGGUGAGAAGGACCUGGGACGGCAUUUUUCUUUCAGCGCACAGGGGAAGAAGAAUCCCCGCGAUGCCCAUGAUGGCUCGAUUUGUCAAACGCUAGCUAUAACCUAGAAAGAAAAGAAGAAAAGGAAGAAAAGGCUAAAACAGCAUGGCGAAAAUCUGAAGAGCUAAAGUCACAGGCCACAGGUCACGGAGUAGCAACACGACGCGCACCGCAAAUCUAUCUUAAAUUCCUUAGCUUGCAGGACAGCCGAUCGCCAGCCACCGGCCAAGGCGGCCAGCGGCGCUGCCGGCACGACCACCCUGGCUCGCCGUGGAUGACGCACCGUACUACCGCCGUAGUGCUAGUGUCCGCCCGUGGCCACGCAGCCGCGACCGCGCACGAGACGAGCGCAGCGAAAUGGCAUGGACGGACCCACCAACCCUAGGACCCCGAUCCGAUGGUCGUUCUCCUUCCAUCCAUCCUUGCCCCACCGACCCCGUGGCCUACUCCACGGCUGUUCCCGAGCUGGCCUCCACCCCACCCUCGGGGUCACUGCACUGUCGCUCGGCUCCGCUUACAACAAAUCCAGUAGAAAGCAACAAAGAAUUCCUCGCCUCGAGAUGCCACAUACCACCAGUGGUCGCGUGGAGCGCCACUACAGUACCAGCGGUUUUUUAAAGGUGACCAGACCAGAUCUGCCCCUGCCCAGCCUCAGAUCCAUUCCGCUUCCGCCCGCGUGAUGCACGUACGAACGAGCACGAGCAUUCUAGUGCUAGUUGCUACUAGCACUAUACCAAUACGUACUAUAUAUGUAUACUACACCCUCCAAGAUCCGAUCUGCUGGAGCAACUUAGAGCUAGAAAUCAAGCUACGAGCUACUGUAGUUAUGGACGAAGCUGCAAGAACAGAGUGUAAUAAGCAGCGACGGAGAAAGAAUAAUAAUGAUGAUACAUAUGGUGAGAGGAAUUAACUGGGGGAUUGUACAAUGGAUAUGGAUCGAGCACCACCAGCAACGACGGCCAAACAAUCAGAUCUGUCCACGCCCAACACACGCAUAACACGGAGGAGUGUCCUACUACGAAUCCGAAUGCCGAAUGUAAUAAUCAUCAACGCAACAACAACAAAAGAAGAAGAAAAAAAAGGAAGAUAAACAGCUCCAAGAACACCACCACAAAAGGAGAGGGAGCGGGGCCCUCGGAUAAAUUAAAUACUCUUGCAGGCAGCCGAUCUGCCGCGGGGGCGGGAUCUCUCAGUAGAAGGCGGCGGCGGCGGCCACGGCGGCGGUGGCGACCCACGCGGCGGCGGGGUGGACGCCGGCGGCGGCGCUGGCGGGGGUGGUGGGCGCGUCCAUGGACGGGGCGGGGGACGGGCCCAUCAUCGACGGCUCCGGCGGCGAGCUCAUGUNNNNNNNNNNNNNNNNNNNNNNNNNNNNNNNNNNNNNNNNNNNNNNNNNNNNNNNNNNNNNNNNNNNNNNNNNNNNNNNNNNNNNNNNNNNNNNNNNNNNNNNNNNNNNNNNNNNNNNNNNNNNNNNNNNNNNNNNNNNNNNNNNNNNNNNNNNNNNNNNNNNNNGGGGGAGGCAUGACCGGGGCCACGGCCGGCGGGGGAGACACCGGCGCCGGGGUCGGCGGCGGCAUCAUCGGAGGCGGGGACACCGGGGCCACGGGGGCCGGCAUCGGGGUGGCCGCCGGGGCCUGGGCCGCGGUGGCGGCGAAGAGCAUGGUCAGGGCCAGAGCCACCAGCUGGAUGCGCGCCAUUGGAGGAGUGAAGAGGAGAGCUUGAGCUUGAGCUUGAGCUUGAGCUUUGCUUUUGCUUGAGGUGGUGCUGCUGCUGGUGUACUGUAAUGGUGUCCGAGACGGUAUUGGGCCGGGAGAUUAUAAAGGGGUCGCGGACGGGGCUACGACGACGAAUUAUAUGAAGACCCAGGGGGCUCCGUGCUAAUUUCCGAUCCUGGUAGCCGUCCGAUCGACAUCCGACGGCUCGUAUGGUUGGAAAGCUUCAACUCUUUUUUCUUCCCCAAACUUCUGACUUCUGAACAGCAAGCAAGUUUCAGAAAAACAAGCUAAAUCCCAACAGCUGGCGGAGAUCAUGUCAUUUGGUUCACGGGAAAUUCUCUCGCGAUAUAAGAGUCUGGUGAUUAUUUGCUUUCCUUUUUUUUGUCAUGGUUCACGCGUAAUUCUGGUCGACGGUGAGCUGGGUUUCCUUCCUGUUCCGUCUUGCCUAAUUUUGUCUUGGGGGUUUGAAAAUCGUGUGCAUAAUCCCACCCCUAUCUUCGGUUCAUGGACCCGAUCAAUUAGUCCAUUGCAGAUAUUUGCGGUAAAAUAUUAUGGACGAUCAAUGCAAAAUGGCAAGCAGCUAAUGAGCCAAUUGGCCCACGCGUUUGCAGUGUUCUUUACAACGAUAACAAAAUGUCAGACUUUAAAACAAUGUUAACUUCGAAAGUCAAAGUUUUUUUACAUGGGUGGCACACAUGCAUGUAAACGGACACGCACGCGUAAAUGUGAAAUAGCAAGUGGUAUUUGCUAAUGAGCCGACUGACCCACGCGUUUGCGGAGCUAGUGCAUCGAGUUUUUUCUACAAGAUAAUAAAAGGUCGGAUUUCAAAAACAAAGUUACUUCCAAAGUCAAAGUGCUUUUUCUCGCAAUUACGUUGGUGACGCACACGCAGACACGCACGCGCAAAUGUGAAAUAUCAAGUGCUUGUUAAUGAGCCGAUUGGCUCACGCGAUUGCGAUGUUUGUGCACUGAGUUUUCUUUACAAGGAUAAUGGAGGUCCAUUUCCAACAACAAGGUUGCUUCCAAGGUCAAGGUGCUUCUUUAUGCAGUUACAACACACAUGUAGACACGCACAUACACACACUCAGAACCUUGCAUAUUUUCGACAUUUUUCUCUUCUUUUUUGAGGGCAGGUUCAGCCCAUCAACAUGUGAAAGUAAGCACCCGUGACUGUGCAAUGUUUAGUUGAGGUAAAAGUGGAGAAAAUAACCAUCAAGUGAAUGGGGCGACUCAUUCCAAGAUGAUUUACCAAUUUUCGUGUGCGGUUUUUCCUGUAUGAUUGGAUGAAACUUGUGCGUGUCAAAUCAUCGAAUAUCGUCAUCUUUCUCACCGAAAGAUCAAUAACCAACAUUGUCUCAUCAAUUCGUGAUGUAUGGUGUUCCCUCGUAUGCAUCAUAUUUUUUGCUCUAUAAACAAAACUUACAAAACUAACAAGAGGUCCACAUUGUGUAUGUGUGCACACGCGCGGCGUGGGACAAUUAUAACAAAAAUGUCUUUCUAUAAAAUAGACAUAAAAUAGAGCUCCUUGUUUUGAUCAUUUGAUGAUAGCAUCAACCAGCUAAGAUUAGUUGCCUACAAAAUAAAUACCUUAGCAAUGAAAUGAUUGGUUUGGUGCUAAUCAAUGGAGCGCACGUUGUCCUCACCAAUUCUAUAUUGAGCCGUUGGUGAAUGAUGGGUUGCUGUCAGCGUUUCUCCAUCAAAAUCUUGGGUUUACAAAAGAACGAUACGAGAAAGUAAUCACACUAACACAGACGGUUAGGAAAACAAGAGAAAAUUCUACUGUCAAGUUAUCUCUUCCGUGUAUUCUUCAUGCACAUUUUUAUUUUAUUUUUGCACAUUGUUUGGCUUGCAAGUUUUAGUCUCCUGCCUAUUAUGUUAGCUGGAAGGAGAUAAAGUUCUUGGUCCCCGACGAAAAAUAGGUUCACUUGGGAGGACAAUGGUGUACAGCCUAACCAAACCCUUUUCAAAACCUAAAGCUCCACACGUUCAGGUUGCUCGAUUUGGUCCAUAAGGGUAUACCUAACGCGCCAAAUGUUUCCAAAACCUAAUGUGCCCCGUUUUUUUCCUUCACAAUAUCCAUCUUGUUCCACAAGAUAAAUCCAGAGAUUUCCAACCUAACCAUACCCUUCCAAAACCCAGCGCUCCACUCCUCCAACGUUCAUAUUCUUUGGACAAGAGAUACACACGAAUACACUUGUCUGGUUCCUAACCACCAUGUGGAAGAGUGUGAUUAUGCUAGUUGAUAGGCAGCUCUGAAUCAGACCGACAAUAGGAAGCCCCUAUCUGGAAGCAAGAGUUCAAAUGCAAGUAUGGACUAAUCGCAACGGCGAACGGUCCCUGCAAACUUUGGAGACCAAGUUAAUUCACGAUUUUCAGAGUAACUUUGUCGAAACUCAUGUUUCGUUCCUUAUUAAACUGGGGUCAAUAUCUAAUUAUAAGAGCAUGUUCGCUAGUUGAAUCAUUGUGCCUCCAUUUUAAGGCUUAAUUUGUGAUUGCUGAACUGUGUUGUGUUAUGAUGAUUUCAUAAUUACUAGUCCCUCCGUUUUUAAAUAUAAGUCUUUUUAGAAUUUUUAUUAGAGACUACAUACGGAUGUAUAUAGACAUACUUUAGAGUAUAGAUUAACUCAGUUUGCUUUGUAUGUAGUCACUUAGUGAAACCUCUAAAAUACUUAUAUUUAGAAAGGGGGGAGUAUGUAAAAUUAGCCACAAAAGUAGACAAAAGCGGUUUAAACGCACGCUCAGAUAGGCAAAAACAUAUUAGGCAACACAAGGUUAUCACAAACCACCACAAUACCAAACUCGGCCUAAGUAAAGCUGACUUUUUCCUAGACAAGAAAAAUGCAACGUGUGUAUGACAAUGAUGUUAGAACAAGCCAACAAAGGCAAGAACAUGAGUUUUCAUCUGGAGAUCGCCUCCAGAAAUUGAAGAUAAUACCACAAGGAGAUGACGUGAGAGCAAUGUCGACAUGUCGUUCCCACGUCUAACCAAUGAAGACUAUACCAACCAAUGGAGGCCAACUCAUUCAAUUACUAUACCACGUCUUGGCGCUCAAAAUCGAACAUCACUUGAUCCAACCAAUGGAGGCUAACUCAUUCACGACGAUUGCGACAAUGUCCGUUCAAGAUUUGGCAUGGCCCAAUGACAAGAAACCUCAUGCUAGCGUACUGGUAUCGCUCCACCAUGGAGCUUACUAGAACCGCCAAAACGCUUUGAAGGGGUCGCCCCUCCGCCCUCAUGUCGACGAUGCCCCUGCAGCCACCCCGGCUUCCAUGUCAUAAUCCACAACAUGUCAUCCUCUAACGGGCAGCCAUCACGACCGGAUAUCGACAAGAGCCCCUAACACCACUAUCGGUCGCAAGACCUUUGGUCAUGGCAUCCUCUGGCGGUGGAGGAGGGGGUUGAAGGAAGGCAUGGUAGAGAUGCUAACUUCCUUAACUACACUUUGUAUACAAUAAAGUAGAGAAAUCUCCCAAUCAAUCUUUGCGUCUAAAAAUGCACACAGCCAACGAACAUUAUUGACCUUCCGAAGGACGAUAUAAAGCCGUAUUCCCAUCGUUCUGGGCCGCCGUGAGUUGCCAACAAACAUCCUGAUCCUGCCCGAAAUGCUAUCCACCGAAUGACAUCUGAGCCGAUCCGAUUUAACAAACAGCAAGCUUGCCAAAAACAAGUCCGUUGGUCCGAUCAGAGCCUCGUCGGGUCCAUGGAAACGGGGCUGUGGCCAGGGUGGAAGAUUCCGGCCGGUCGGCCAGCCGCGGUGUAGUACAGAGCUACGUGACGCCGACGUACCAACUAAGCCAAGACAACCACCAUCUUCCGAGUGAAAUCAAAUGAGAUCGACUACGUGACGGCCGCGAACUCUGCUGGGCAGUGUGAUACAGUUCGUCGAGGUGUCGCCUCCCAUGGCCCUGUUGCACGCCCACGAAGCAUGUAGCAGUGCUGUACAGUUGUAUAAUAACCGGAGAUGCCGCGUGGGCCAAGGGGGUUAUGGUAGAGGAUGUCAUAGAGGAGCUGUGGACAGCCAGGGCUAGGCAUUUUGCUUGGCGACUCAUCAGAGUGUUUACGAAGGCAUUGACUCGUGGCAAAUGGAUGGCAAAUCUCAUGCUGCGUCAGGUAAAAAGUGGGCAUAGUUUUCUUGCCGAUUCCUGUAUGGUUUUCCAUGUUCGUUAUGGAGAAUUAUGUUCAGCGGUCGGUUGGAAGAAGGCCUUCACAUAUUCGGAAGAAAGUGGGUGUGAAAACCAGCUUGACAUAAUCAUAGACUGAAUGGGUCGUCGACAAAAUGAUUGGGAAUUUUUUUCCCAAACAAUUUCAAAAUUCCACUGUCCAUAGGUUAAUCAAAUCAGGAGGUGGUUGGUACUACUAGUACUAGCGAAGCAGCCGCUAUCACAUAAAACAAUGGCACGAGCCGAAUCAGAAAGACAGCCGCUGCUUGCAAAGCAUUGCCCCCACAACCAUAAGAUCAGGGGCCCCUAAAUAACCGGACAGCUAAGUUCGUCGAUGAUUCGCUCGUCUAAAAGGAGCUCAUCUAGCUCCGUUUCGUUGUAUUUCCUCGUGUCUGGAGCCUAAUGGGAGGUUAGUUAGGCGGUCGCCAAUGAUUGAGGAUUACCUGGCUGUGAUGGGAGGAGCUGGCUGGCCACAUUGGUGGCCUUCAGGUGAGAUGGACAUGGGAACUCCAUCACAUGCCCAUCUCAAGCACCAGCCCGGCGAUCCCUGUUGGGGAAGCUGUAGCAUUUCUCAUGCUGCACAUGUAGAAAUCUUCUGCGUGCCAACCGCUGUCGCCGUCGGCCCAGUGCGCGAUGAGCAUGGCACCGCCACUGCGUGGUCGCGAUCGCUACAGGCGGCUACAGGCAAUAACUCGGGGCAGUAUGUUAGUUCAGGGAAUUGAUGAUAUGGAAAUAACAGAACUUACCAUUAACUUAUACUCUACUAGCAUAGAUCAUGCCAGGCCACAUGACUCCAUGCUUAAAAUGUUACAAUGGGACCUUUCGCGGCAAACAGCAAAUGCACCCCUUGUAUGUUUAUUCUAGAAUGUUAUAAUGUCACAAAACACAGAUUAAGUUGCAAACGAAGGCAUUUCGGUGCCACGUUAUUAGAGGAACAAAGAGUUUGGUAGCCAUUCGCUGGGUAUUCGAAGAAUGAAAGAACAGAUAGCUAUGGGCUAGAUUCCCUCGAGACUUCUUGUCCCCGACUAAAUGGCUAGCAACUUCAGUCUACUUACAUGUGGAACAGUGGAAACAAAGUGUGCUUGGCAUGUGCUAUUAUUACACAAAGCUCUAUAUACGAGUUGCAACUAUAGCUCCCGUCGGUCGAUUUUCACAGAGAUGCGCCCGACUCCCAACUCAAGAGUUUGUCACGCUUUGCAGCAUGUUGUCUAGGGCUCAGAGAGCAAGAUCAGCAUACUGUUUUAACCAACUGACAACUCACAAAAAUGAGCCGAAACUGACAUUAUUCGUAUGCUUCCAUCAGACUGGCCAGUGCCCCUCCAAUCUAUGGCUUUGCUUUGAGCAAGAUGGAAGAGUAUGAAGCAAUUCUAUACCCGGAUCCAGUAAGUGGCACCCCUUCCGGUGUAAUAUCGUUUGGUGAUUCCAGGUUGGUAUCCACCUGCAAAAAGGACACAACAGCAGUUUCAGGCUAAUUAUCCACUAAACUUAUAGCAAGUCAGAACUAAGCCACUUGCUUCCAGAAAAUUGCAAAAAUCUGUCUUUCUUAGAAAACACUGGGGAAAAUAUCAGUAGAUUUUCCAAGCAAUUGAUGUAGUAGCAUGGGAGGAACUAGACAGUACGACCACUGAGUUACAAAAAGUUAGCAAGACAGGAAGUAUACAUACCACACGGUUCCAGCUUUUAUGAUGAGGUGCUGGGGGAAUCACAGCAUCCACAAAAUAGUCAUGGGCAUUGAAUGCCAAAUAGAUAUCUCCACCAGAAUUGUGGUCGUGUAUCCUACAUUAAUCGCCAAACAAAACAGUUGAGAAGACAAGAACUCGUAGCAACCAAACUACAACAAUACUAUCAUAUGGUCAGAAUGAAUUACACAAUAAAAACUGAAAGCCAAACUUCCUUACGUGAAUGCCAAGAAUUUGCUUUCCAAGUUAUCCCAACAAUCCUCAUGCCAGGUGACAUCAUUCUACAAUCAAGAAAGAUCAGAAUGCGAUGAAAACCUUUGGAAGAAAAUUCAAACCAAGAGUUACAUACUUGCAUCCUACAAAAGCUAGGAAUUGUCGUUUCUAACGUGCAAUGCACAAUAAGAGACCAGAUCACAUACUUAGCAAAUACUCAACAGAAACUGAUAACUGUAUUUCAGUAAAGGAAGAACUGUUUAUUUUCAAUACGCCGGUCAACUGCAAGAACACCACUAAGAAUUUGAACAUACUUUACUAAGAAACCUGUCCCGUUUCAGUAUUGGGUGGUUCUGACGAAACUUAAUCAUCUCUGAGAAAAACCUGAAAUGGCCAUAUCUUCUUUCCGCCAACUGUAUCAAACGGACAAGAGGAGAAAACAAGUUAGCAUAUAGAUGUGGCACAUCCAUAACACAUUUUGAAUGGAAAACCAAAAUAAUCAUGUAACCUGUUCCCACUGGAAAUUAUUUAUGCAGGUAUCAUGUCCAUAGCUAUUAUUGUUUCCAUAACGUGUAUGACCAUAUUCAUCUCCCAUCAACAUCAUUGGGGUGCCCUGUUACAAAAACAAAAGGUGCAAUUAGUAAUUUUUACAUUAUGCAAUACCACAUAAAAGUCCAACUGUGAAGUGAUCAAUAAUAUUUACUUGAGAAAUCAUUAAUGCCACAUGGAAGUUCUUCAUUUGUCUCGAACGCAGAGCUAACACAUUCGAAUCAUUUGUUUCUCCUGUUUAGCAACAAGAUCAAAAUAUGAUAACCUUCCAUGGUUGUAUUUUCUUCGAGAAACAGAAAGUGUGCGCUUCGAUGCAUUGAUAGAAAGAAUAGAGUAGUAACCGUAGAAGCCUAAGACUACGCCGAAGCAACCGACCACUCAAGACAAGACCACAACUACAAACAAACACAACCAAACCAACCCUGGCAUAGAUGCCAUCCGCACAAGCGGACAGAACACAACGCCCAUCACAAGAAGAGAGAAUCCAACUCUGCAAAGGGCAGAAUUGGGCUACUCCCACUUUGGAGGCAACAUAGUUGUAUUUGGUCUAUUCUUGAUACAGAAACUUCACUACUAAGAGUAGGCCAUGAGUUCUAUCAAGUGUCAAGCAUACUGCAAAAUUAAUUUUGAACUAAAAAUGCAUUUCGUGUUCUCCUUGUUCUUGUGCAAUACUAUACUUCAGUCAGAUAUCUUAAGAACGGCGGCACUGGAGAUCGCCUCUGUGUGGUUGGAUAUCGGCUCUGGCUGCUUGGGUGGUUGAGUCGUCGACCCGUUGGGUGCACGGCCUCAGGGCCAGUGUGCUGUGCUGCUGAUGUUUGUAAGCCAGAGUGGCGGCUUAGGGUCAUGUGGUAGGGUGUCGACUAGGGUCGCUUGGGCAGCAGAGUCGGCGGCCUAUUGGGGUGCAGCCUCGGGACCGGCGUGUUUGUAUGGCUCGUUUUAUCAGUUUUCAGCCAGUUUGUAUGGCAGGAGUAUAUGAUAAGGUAGAGCUCCUUGGUUGCUCGAAAAAGAAAAAAACUCUCUUUUCACUUGCUAAUUUCAAUAUGAAGAGCAACGCAUGAUAAUGAGUAAUGAUGGUACCUUCAACACCACAGUUCCAGCUAAAGUUAUCAUUGCAUCCAUCACGUCCACCUUCUCCAUUAGCAUCGUUGUGCUAUAUAAUUUUGGUCAAACAGAAAGCAUAUUAACAUAGAUACCACUACCUGUAUAGGACCUUACUUUAUAGUGUUUUUGGUAUACUCGAGUUACCUUUAAGUUGUAUGAUACAAGGUCACAUAAGGUGAACCCAUCAUGUGCGAUUAUAAAGUUCACACCGUGAUGAGGCUUCCGCUGGUUCACCUGCCAAUCAAUAUCACAUCAGAACUUGACUUUGCACGUGGUCCUGUUUUGAACUAUGUAAUCCUAAAUCUUCCACAUAAAAAUAAGUCUCGAAGCUUAUUCACAGAAGCUCCUAGCAGGCUAGCACCUCCAUACAUAGAGUGGUUUAAAUCUCAAAAUGGCAUCUCAUCCAAUAUUCAGAGUACAGCCAAUACCGUUAAGCAUUUGGGUGGAUCUUAGAGAAAUAAAUCAGAAUGAGCAUUGAAAACAAUGCAAAUAGAAUUGCAUACAAAAUAAAUAUGGAGGUUGGAUAUGUUAAUAGCGUAAGCUGCGCCCUGAUGACACUACGGAAAUAGCAAGUGUAUAGUUUCAACCUUCAACAACGCUGAAGACUUAAGCUCCGGAAUUUAUUUUUCUUAACACACACAUAAUUGUGUGUUCACUGUAUUUAGCUCAGGAAUUUGCAAAUACAGUAAAAAGUACACUUUUGAGUCACUUAUUUUGGGACGGAGGGAGUACUAUACAAAACAUCAAGAAACAGGGCUCCAAAAGAAAGUAUGUUUAGUGAUGAUAUAACCAAGCAAGGAAAAUCCUCAACUGAUGGACAAAAUGGCAGNNNNNNNNNNNNNNNNNNNNNNNNNNNNNNNNNNNNNNNNNNNNNNNNNNNNNNNNNNNNNNNNNNAAGAGCACAACUGAACAAAAUACCUGGUAGAGAUCAGCGGAUCCAGAUAUACGAGUUGCCAACACCCCCUUCAUACCAGGGUCACCCUGCAAAAAACCUCCAAAAUGAUUAGCAGGAUUCAAUCAUUCGUCAGUGCUUGCAGAAAUAAUUGGAAAUGUAACAAAGAAAGUAAUCAGGACAAACUCUUUUGCAGAAGUCACUCUAAAUUCAGAUCAAAUGUUACAAAAUCCACUGAUGCUAAAAAGGAAAUAUCUUGGUGUUGUAGGUCUUUGCUGAUUUAGUUAUGAUUAAUUCAAAGACAUUAUGCUAUGGAAAGCAUGAGAGAGUGGAAGCAACAGCAGUCCAUGGAAAAUUGGGUCGGUAAAUUCAAACAGGCAGAGAAGCCUCAUAAAUUCUUGAAAAGUCCAUAUUCUUCUGUGAAAAUCUUUCUCUCUGUUAGCUGUUCUGGCUUUUUUACUUUUCUGAGUUUUAUAUCGGUGGCUUGGCUUUUGUCAAUAUAAAUAUAAGAUAGAGGAUCCUUAAUCUUUCGCCACGGCAAAAUGGUCAUGAACAAAGCCAUCUAAUGAUCUGUCUUAAGAAUAUACAGAAAUGAUCAGGAUUUUGGAGAAUGUUAAAGAUCAGGAUCGGGAUAUAAAGAACAGCACCUUGAUGAACCUUCGAAGGUCGUCUCUAUACUUUCCAUUCCAUUCAGCCCACCUACAGGGGCAUUUGAUUAUAUCUUACAAAUAUUGGCAAUAUUCUCUAACAACAUUGAAACAUAUUCAGCUCUUCGUACAUUUGAAAAAGGAAACAUAGUCUAAUAAGGACUCCUAGACCAAUACUAAUACUCCCUACGUCCCAAUAUAGUGCAAAGUUGUACUGAAGUUGAGACACUUAUUUUGGGACAGAGGGAGUACUUCCUAACAGAAAUUACUGGCAACAAUUUUAGGCAACAAAAGGGACCACCAUAAGAGGAAUGCAGUUGUUAAGUAAUUUAUAAAUGGUCAUCGGAGCAUUACAUCAGCGAUGUUAGAAAAACAAAAAGUAUUUGUGCUACAUUAUCAUCGCAGUGUAAAAAUAGUUUAGUGCUAAACAAGAAACAUAGGUACGAAAAAUAUACAUAUCUAGCAAUUUCAAAUGCACAUAGUGCAAAAUUACCUGUCCCAGUUAGGAAAACGCCCUACUAGAUAAAGACCUCCACAAUCCCAAGGUUCAGCAAUUAUCUUGCAUCGAGAUAACACAGAAUCUUUCGCAAUUUCCUGUGAUCAGCAAAAUAAACAAUGAGACAAAAUAACAACAAACAUCAUAGGCUGAUAGUUCUACAAAAACACUAAUGUAGGCUAUCAGAUGAACAUUGCAGUCUUGAGAAGGUGUGAUAUAUCAUUUGCAAUUUCAUAAACGUAAGGGGGCAUUCAAAAGGUCACACAUUCAUAGGACCCUCAGGUUCCUCUAAAUCUACUUCAUUAAUGACCCACCAAUCAUUCAAAGCUGAUGAUGAAAUUUUGCAUGAUUGCACUAAAUAUCUGCCCGGCAAAUAAUGGUUCAACAACUGAGAAAGAGAAAGCAAAUACGGCAUAAAAUGUUGUGAAGUCCAUAAAUUUCAAGGUGACAUUGGUUCAAGUGAAUUCACUAGGUCACAAUUUGUAUCCGAUCAACCAUAGUUAAUGUAAGAACUUAUGUCUUGUGUUUUCAUGAUAUCAAUGAACUUCAUUUGACUAGAAAGAGGAAAACUGUAUCUCUGAUUUGAAGUUAAACACUACAAUUCUGCAACUAUAAAAUUACCCUGAUGAGUGGAGGAGCAUCAAGAGGACUGCCAUCUGGUCCGCGACAAAGAACACUUGCAAGGUCAAACCGAAAUCCAUCUAUGUGGUAUUCCUUAACCCUUGAAGCAUCAAAUAGUCAUACAAAUAAGAUAACAUACUUAAAAUAUGAUGAACUCUUCAAAAAAGAGAUCAUAAGCAAAUACUUGGUCUGAAUAUUGUAUCAAGAUAUUAAUGAACUACUGCAGUGCAGUUUUCUUGAUCCUUUGGCUGCCUUGCACUAAUACAUUUAAUAUAGGACUUGUCAGUGCAUACAAUACUUUGAUAAGGAGAUCCCUAGCGACUUCACUCGUUCAAGGUUGGAAAUACUUAAGUCGGUCCACUCACAAGGCACGAGAGUCACCACCUAGACUCCAUGAGAAUUGGUUGCCACCUGAUGCUUCUACACUUUGUAUUGGGUAUGGACUGGACAUCAUGGGUACCAAGGAGUGAGGAAACAGGAAUGAUUCGUAAGCCCAGCUACAUUCAGUCGGACUGCAACAGCACAGAGAUCUGAACAACCAUGCUACAUCAUGGGUACCAAGGAGUGAGGAAACAGGAAUGAUUCGUAAGCCCAGCUACAUUCAGUCGGACUGCAACAGCACAGAGAUCUGAACAACCAUGCUACUGGAGGCUCAGUCUGGAGGCACAGCAAGCAACCGGUCCAACCAGAAACUCGGUGUGGAUUAGACAGGUCACACGUUGUUGUUGUUUUUGUCUAGCCUGUUCCAAUCGAACUGGCUCCUAUUCACUUCGCUAGUGUGAGUGGAUAUAGAAGCGAACGCUCACCUCUUUCUUAGAGUUAGUCAAAAAUUUAAGAACAAUGGAACUCAUGAGUUUUGCUCCCCUCCUACGGUUACAGCUUCCAUGUCAUCCUACGAUUGGGAGUUCCGGAGUUUCCCCACCGUUGUUUUUGUUCCAUAUGCAAGAACCGUUUGUGCGAUGGGUUCUUUCUCAAAGGCUAUGACAUUGGCACUUGUUGCUGGCAUCGAUUGCUCAAGCAACUCGAGUCAUCCAUUCCCAUUGCCUGAAGCCCAGGCCUCCCCGUAUAUUAACUGCAGCAGUCAAGUGACUUCAUCAACUAUAACGUGUCACAACCCAGAUGAUUUGAUGGCUAUGAACUAAUGCGUGCAGUGUGUACUGCAACAUAGAGGUAGUUUUCAGUAAUUUCGGUCUAUCAGUAUCAUCUUGAUUUGAUCAUAUAGAUCCGACAGUUCAAUUCCACAUGCAUGUUUAUUUAUUUGUCAGCACUUGAUUGUGAGAGUGGAACACAAGUAUAAACAAGUGCUACCGAAGCAUUGACUAUACUGAUUAAUGAAGACUAAAGAGACGAUGAACAUGAAGACAGAAAUAUGCAUAAACUAAAAUGCAGUUGCUUGACGUAUAGAACAACAUGCAAAUCGUGCAUACCAAUGUCUCAAGCUGUCGAGUACUAGUUCCAUGACAACAGGAUGGUUGCAGUUUAGUGUAUUCCCUGGAUUAAACCGAGUAUACUGUUAACACUUAGGAGUAGACACAAGUUCCACUUACUUGAAAUUUUAAACAUACCAGAAUAUUAAGUACCUAGCCAUCUAAAUGUUAUAGUAUCAACCAGAUAAUUAAGCAGGCUUCCAAUAUUUUUUAACAAGGUUUCCCUAUAGGUAGCAAUGUGGCAGGCUCGCAUCAAUGCUUGGGUUGAAAAAUAUAGUGGCUGCAGCCAAAUAAUGACCAGGUGACCACUCUUAACACUUCCACCAGUCAAUAUAGCAGCUAACGUGGCUGCAAGGUUCAGUCUGAUGGCAUGACAAAAGAUAAUAAACAUAGAUUGAAUCAACAUUUAUCAUUUUAAAUACAUCACAACAAAGUAGCACACAGAUAUGCAGUUUAUUUGCCUAGAAGCACACAAUCACAACAUUAAUUAGCAAGGUACAUGGUUAGUAAGCGGAUCAGCAAAACAAGAUACAUUAACAUCCUUAAAGCCGGAGCAACAACGAACAUACAAAGCAUUGGGUAGCACCCUAGAACAUGUUCAUGUAUCACAAGCACGUCACAAACAAUCAAGUAACAGAAGUUCAGGAAUCAUGGUUUUACCGCAUCCCGAGAAGUUCAGCAGUUGAGAGUUGUUGUUCGGAUCUAACAUGUAAUAAACCUGCAUGAAUGAAAGUAGUGUUUUUGGUAUAAAUUCAUGUAAAACCUGAAGCAGGUGUACACUUCUAAACACUUUGGGGGUUAGAACAGAUUAACUUAACCUGGUCGCAAAUUUUACUUAGCCUUCUAAGACCACUGACUGUCUAACCCAUUAUAUAACAGGUCAAAAGGUUGGAGUGAGCAAACCCGUACACAAAUUUUGAGUUAAGCAGCCCUAUUCCGAUUCUAACCUAGUUCUUUUCAACCCGGAAUAAAACACAGUCUACACACUAGAACUAAGAAAAGAUGGAGCAACAAGCAGAUAGGUGCCUUCAUCGGCUAUAACUCAAAUAAUAAAUCACCUUGUUGUCGAUGCCACGAAAAGAAGUAACAUAAGGAUGAGCGUCAUCUGCUUCAUUCGUAUGGUUGUAAACAACGUCCAGAAUAACCUACACAAAAUGAUGAUACCAUUAAACACAUUUUAUCAUGUGGGGUGAAUAAGAAUGCUACAAUAGGUUGCCAUAUCUACUGGAUGUCAAUACCUCUAUACCAGCUUUAUGCAAUGCCUUGACCAUCUGUUUGAGCUCUCUGGAAGCAGCCAAUGGUCCACCACCAGCACUUGCAUAGCGGGUCAUGGGAGCAAAAAAGUUGAUUGUAGAAUAACCCCAUGUAUUGACCUUCCAAUUGAGAAGUUGAAAAGUCAUUUCACAAUUGAUUCCACUNNNNNNNNNNNNNNNNNNNNNNNNNNNNNNNNNNNNNNNNNNUGACAUCAUGCACAAAGUGGCAUAUCAGAAUUUUUACCAUGUGGUCCCUUGGGUUAGGGUAUCUCUUGAACUCCAGCUCAUCAAACUCAAAAACAGGUAGCAACUCCACUGCAUUAACUCCGAGUUCAAGCAAAUGCGGGAUCUACAAAACCGCAACUAUUGCAUGCAUAAGUCAUUAAACAAUAUAGGCUUGAAGCCUUGAACACUGAAAACUAAUAUGCAUAUCAGGUUCCCAACACUAGAUCACUAAAAUAAUAGUGGGAAUAUAUUUAUUCCGCUAAUAACUUCCAGUAAGGGCAGCCCGGUGCACGUAGCUCCAGGACUCGAACCCGUGACCUCAUGGUCACUAGGCAACAGCUUUACCGCUGCGCCAAGGCUCCCCUUCAAUAACUUUCAGUAAGGACAAAACAAAUAAUUGUGGUCACAAGCCACACAAUAAGAAGAAAUUAAAACUUACUUUGUCGAUGAAUCCUAGAUAGCUUCCACGAACAGCUGGAUCAAGCCCACUUGACUCAUCCGCAGUGAAAGCGCGAACGUUCAUCUCAUAUAUAACUAGAUCUGUCUAGAUUAAAGAACAGAAGAAAAGUAGUGAACUUCAUGUUUAGGAUGCUUUCUUCAUCUAUUCUAUGAAAUGAUCCUAGUACCUCAGGCAAAUUUGGAAGCUGGUAAUCAGCACCCCAAUCAAAAGGAGAGCUAUCAAAAUCAUAUGUUCCAAAAGGCUGGCUUGGCUUCCCUUUAUCAACACCAAAGUAAUUUCGACCAGAAACUAGUUUCGCGUAAGGGUCAAGAAGAAUAAUGUUGCUAUCAAACCUAUGGCCUUGUUCCCAUCCUUGAGGACCAUUAACACGAUAUCCAUAAAGAACUCCAGAAGUGGGCAACCCCUGAAAGUACAUUUAUAUAAGGCUUCAUUCAUCAUAUAUGCAUGGGAAAAUACAUAGAAGCAAAAUAGGCACAGAUUUCUCCUCCUAACAAUAAAUAUUGUAAAGAACAUAGGAUAUGUUUUCAGCCAAGACCAAAAGAGAACAUAAGGAUUUCUCCUCCCAACAAUAAAUAUUGUAAAGAAUAUAAGGAUAUGUUUUUCAGCCAAGACCAAAAUAGAUAGAUGUGUAACAUGCUGGAAGCUUUUUCUAUAGAAGGGGUUUUCUCCUCUAUUUCACCCAGAAACCACAAAAACCCUUGCAGUAAACUGAAACAUGCUAGAAGUGACACAGUGAGAUAGCCAAAGUUAUGAGCCUGCACUACUCAGCAGUGCAUUUUUUUUUCUUUUUAUGAAUGAGUUGACGUGAUAAGAUCAGUGCUUUCAAAGCAUAUGAUUCUCAUAAAAUUAAAUCUUGUUACUCAGUGAGAUAGCCAAAGUUAUGAGCCUGCACUACUCAGCAGUGCAUUUUUUUUCUUUUUAUGAAUGAGUUGACAUGAUAAGAUCAGUGUUUUCAAAAUAUAUGAUUCUCAUAAAAUUGAAUCUUGUUUUGAAGAAUAUGUAAUACAGAUACACAUGAGGCGAAUGAUGGGAUUCUUCUUCCAUAAAUGUCAGCCACACCAAGUUGUCAAUAUUGAAAAGAAUAAUGCCUUAUCUUCGAAGGUACAGAUAACAUGAAAGCUUCAUAACAAUACCUCCACCAACACAUGCCAUAUAUCUCCAGUUUUGUUCUUCUGGCAAUCUAAAGCAAACUCCACAAGUUUUUCACUUUCUUCAUCCUUGGUUCCUCUGAAGGGCAAUCAAGUAUGUCAGACAAUGAGAAAAUCAUAUUCCGUUGGAAAGAGAAUGCAAGAUGAACAAGCUAAAGUACAACGCUGAUCUGCAAAAGGUUAUUCCAACCAGGCCAACAGCCCAGAUCAACUAAUAAAAUGGCAACCUGGGAACCAAAUAAACAUUGUUUUGUGCAUUCGAUCUGCAACACACACAAACAGUUGAUCAAAGUGAUGUGUUUUGGCUUUGUGAACAACUUGUUUUGUGGGAAACCAGGAUUCAUGAGUUCUAGCCUAAAAGGCAAAAACAGUUCACUUAAAUGACACUGAAAGCAACAAAACCACACAAUUUAGGAAAGAUUGUCUGUACCUCUCAGCAAGCUUGAUGCAGAGAGUGACAGAAGAAGCAUGUUGAGAGAAAAUCGCGAAGUUGAUACCACUUUCAACCUGCGACACUCCUAGAGGGGAUGCUUUGCCGGAAGAAUAUUUCAAGGGCAUUUCGGUGCCUGCCAUUGCGCUUUCCUUUUCCUGGCGAUGUUACAGAAUGAACAUACACUUUAGCAAAAAGUACAUGAUACAGAACGGGGAAUAAGGAUAUUCAGCAUCAUACAGUUAAUGAAUACUUGAAUUCAAACAUAUUCGCUUAGCGGAAAGUUUCACCAGGACAAUAACUCAUGACAUGUCAAAUUACCACGAAUGUAUAUCAAACAAACAAUUCAGUACACCGGCAGCUAAAUGGAUACAGUACGAUACAACCAUGCAUGGGAUGAACACUUGAGCACGGUGCGAUACCUCGGUCGCGAUUCUCCCAGCAUUACCAGCCUGAGCUCUCGCCGUGGUAGUCCGCACGGACCCAAAUCGCUGUGCCUGCACCACGACAAAAUCCGCUCGGAUCAAUCCACCAAUUAGAACGGAUAUAUGGAUGCACCCCGCGAAAAAAAAAAGUAGUACAAAAAUCGAGACACCUGCCUUUCCGAAAUGCCCUCCUCCGCACCCGGGCGCGACCCCAAGCCUGCUCGCCGCCACACUGCACAACCAACCACAUUACACAUGCAUCAUUCAGAGCGGCAGAUUGAACGGCACGAAAACGACAGAAUGCAGCGCGGCGAAACGAGGUCGCGCGAAGAGAGGGGGAAACACGCACCGGUUCGGAAGCGCGGAGCUGCUGCUUCGGCGUGCGGUGGCGGUGGCGGUGGCGGCGGCGGCGGGGCGCAGCGGGGAGCGAUUUGUAGAGGCCGCCGAAUCCAUCCAAAUGAGGGGGGUGGUGCUGGGACGGGUGGCGGGAGGGGUUUGACCCGGGACCGGGGCUAGUUAUAGGGGCCCGUGGACGCGGUCAUGGGGCGGCUCUCGAGGUCGACGGAGUGGAGUGGCGAUGGGGAGCGCAAGUCGGAGCGGGAGGAGGAGGAGGAUGCGGCGGUGAUCUCACCUCGGGGAGGGCGCGCGGGGGAAUGGGGCGACGGGGAUGGGGGGUGGACACGUGGUGNNNNNNNNNNNNNNNNNNNNNNNNNNNNNNNNNNNNNNNNNNNNNNNNNNNNNNNNNNNNNNNNNNNNNNNNUAGGGAAGUGGACGGACGACCUCGCUUCCGGGCAUCCGGCCCGACGUGUGGUGUCGUGUCGUCAUGCGCUUUCUGUAGAACAGUUUUUUUUCUUCUUACAACAGUUACUAGUGGUGUCCUCUAAAAAAGAAACAGUUACCGGUGAAUGAUAGCACUGUUUGUACUCUGACUGAGUUAAACGUUAGAGUUAGGCCAUGUUUCUUUAAAAAGUCUUAGGACUUUUUUUAGUCCCAACUAAAAAGUCUCUAGUCCCUACCUGUUUUUUUUCUAAAAAUUAAACAUGGACUAAAGGUCAUUAAAUGACAUGAAAAAAAAUAUGUUACCCGUAGUAAUAUACUAGAAGUUAUUAAAUGACAUGCUAAAAGUAGGGGCACUGUUGGAAAAAGUGCCAAAAAAGUCCCAAAAAGUCCCUCCCAUAGGGACUUCUUCAUUUAGUCCCAAAUACCCCAUUUUAGUCCCUAAAAGUCCCUCGUGUUUCUUUCACAUGGGACUAAAAGGGACUUUUUUUAGUCUAUACACCAAAAAGUCCCUGGAAAGAAACACCCCCUCAGAUUAUAAGGUUGGUCGUAAUGGGAGUACCAUAGCUAGUAUCAUGCAUGCCAACUAAGCAAUUUUGAUGAGGUGGUAUAAAAUUAAAUAAAAAAAAGAGGGUUGAGUAUCAUAUCAUGAUAUGAUGAUACCGUAUCAUAUUAAAUGAUGUGCUACUAGUAUGUGUCUUGCAUGACAAUAAAUGAAUUAUCCUAUGAUACUAACAUAUGAUGCUAUGCAUUACGGAUGUGGUAUCAUCCACUAGUAUCAUAUGCAUGAUACUAACAUAUGAUACUACCCAUUACAAUCUCUGGUUGUAAUGCAAGACACGUAAUAGCACAUCAUUUAAUAUGAUACGGUAUCAUAAUAUGAUACUCAAUCCUCUCUUUCUUCAUUUAAUUCUAUGUCACCUCAUCGAAAUUGCUUAGUUGGCAUGCAUGAUACUACCUAUGAUACUCCUAUUACGGGCAGCCUAAUACUGAACUAACUCUAACCAGAGAGGUGUUUGGAUGUCAGGGUUAGAUUGAUAAUAAAUACUAUUUUUCAAUCAUUUGGUUACUUUGGACCGUAUUUCCUGCCGGAUUUGGUGUGGCCGCCCCUUGUGUGGCCUCCUCCCGCUCGGGGGGCGGCUAUGGUUGUGGCUACGGGAGGGGAUGUGGAUGGGUCGAAGGGAUCUGGUGCGGUGGAGGCGGAGGGAAAAGUGAUUUUUUUUCGACCUCACCUAACUCUAACCCAAAUAAACACCUCGCCAUGGAGUUUUUUUUUGGUGGGUUAGAUGCAUCUAACCAAAACUUACCCUCUUGUUUGGAUGUUUUUGGUUAGUUAAGCCUAAGCUAACCCAAACUAACUCUAACCCAUUUAUCCAAACAGAACCGAUGAGAAACGGUCGGAUUCACAAACAGAUCAGGUGGGAAACUAGCUUUAAGAGCAUCUUCAUCCAUGAUUUGCAAAUUUGGGCCCUGAAACGUCCGCGGACGCGCCUGGUUAGUGACCGGACGUCUCUAUUUGUCCUCCCGUGUAUUCACACUCCUCAUUUUCUUCCUCAUAUGUCCGGUCACUUCCACGUUAUUGGUGAAGAGGAAGAGAGAGAAAGAAAAGAAUGAAUAAAGAAAAGAAAAGGAUGGUCUAGGGCGGGGUUGCGUCCUAUGUGGCGGACUGACCGAGCGCGCCCAGGCGCGUCCGCGAGGCCUCAUAUCCUUCUCAUAUUUAAGAUGGAUAUGAGGGUUCACGGACAACCCGGACAUAUAGGGACUAUAUGAGGGGUCUGGUUGGGUCACUUUUUCCUUCUCUCUCCUGUUCGGUCACUAACCGGACGCGUUCGCGGACGUAUGAGGGGUCAUUUGAGGGGUACAGUUGCGCAACCAUACUCUCUCGAUGGUGGCGCCCCAUAUGGCAUUGUGCCUCUCUCGGCCUCAUCAACGAGCACAUGCUCUGCAAUGACUAUCGCAAACGCUUGGAUGCAUUGUCCCAGAUCCUCGACACACACUGUGGCCCAAUCAGAGGCCUUACUAUGGGCAGGUUUCAUUCCAACGGCAAGGACCGAGCCAAGCUCGACGAGUGGUUCUUAUCGUCCGCCCUAGAUUAGCUCGAGGAGCUCACUUUAAUGAUGGACAUAUGCGCUCAUUGCCACCCUCCACGUUGCACCUCGCGCUUAAGUUGCACAAUGCUAGGUUCGUGAACUGCCAUUUCCCCGAGAUUAACAUCGAUCCCGCAUUUUUACUACCUCGGCUGAAGCACCUCGAGCUCGUCGAUUUCUGCAUCCCCAAUGAUGACACGGAGUGCCUGCUCCGCGGCUAUACUGCGCUCGAGUACCUUCAUCUUUAGGCAAUCAAUGGAUUGAGUAUCCUCCACAUCGCCUCCUUGAGUCUUUGGACAAUUUGUGUGUAUUGGUGGUGCUGUAAUAGGAGAUCAGACAAGUUGAAUCACCAAAUGGUCAUCGAGGAUGCGCCUUUACUGGAGAGAUUACUUGUAGUCGAUCAACAAGGUCCAACAAGAAUCAGGGUCAUUUAUGCACCGAAGUUGACCGUGUUUCCCUACUCUCACAUCAACUUCUCUGAACUUGUUAUUGGAUCCAUAACCAUCCAGGUACAUCAGUCGCCUUCUUAUCCUCCUUGAAAUAAACAUUUAUUUUUCUGUAUUAAAGAUGUAUGUUCGUUUGUCAUUCGAAAUAUUAUUCCAACAAGCUCGAUGAAAGGACGUGGAUGUCGCCUAGAGGGGGGGGAAUAGGCGCUUUAAAAUAAUUAAGGUUUAGGCUUGAACAAAUGCGGAAUAAAACUAACGUUUAAUAUGUCAAGCACAAAACCUAAAAACAACUAGGCUCACCUAUGUGCACCAACAACUUAUGCUAAGCAAGAUAAACAACUAAGUGAUAGCAAGAUAUAUUACAAUAAACAAUAUGUCUAUCACAAAGUAAAGUGCAUAAGUAAAGGGUUCGGGUAAGAGAUAACCGAGGCACGGGGAGACGAUGAUGUAUCCCGAAGUUCACACCCUUGAGGAUGCUAAUCUCCAUUAGAGUGGUGUGGAGGCACAAUGCUCCCCAAGAUGCCACUAAGGCCACCGUAAUCUCCUCACGCCCUCGCACAAUGCAAGAUGCCGUGAUUCCACUAAGGGACCCUUGAGGGCGGUCACCGAACCCAUACAAAUGGCAAUCCUUGGGGGCGGUCACCGAACCCGUACGCGUGGCAACCCUUGGGGGCGGUUACCGGUACCCGUACAAAUUGCUCGGGGCUAUCUCCACAACCUAAUUGGAGACCCCGACGCUUGCCCGGAGCUUCACACCACAAUGAUUGAGCUCCGAGACACCACCAAGCUUCUAGGAUGCCAAAGCAUCCACGAAGAACAAUAUCUAGGGUACUAAGUACCAAAGGUAGUAAGCUUCUCAACUUCUCACUUCCACGUAUCACCGUGGAGAACUCAAACCGAUGCAACUAAUGCAAUGGCAAGAACACACAAAGUGGUCAAGUCCCUCACACUCAAAUCCCUCCACAACAACAAAAGCUAUGGAGAAAUAUGAGAGGAAGAACAAGGAGCUCACAAAGAACUCCAAGAUCUAGAUCCAAGGGGUUCUCCUCACAUAGAGGAGAAAGUGAUUGGUGGAGAUGUGGAUCUAGAUCUCCUCUCUCUUUUCCCUCAAGAACAAGCAAGAAUCAUUGGAGGGAUUGAGAGUUAGCAAGCUCUAAGAAUGUCAACUAUGGAGGUAGAACAAGAGCUCAACGGAUAGAUGAGGCCAAGGGGGAAGAAGACCCCCUUUAUAUAGUGGGGGAAGGAAUCAGACCGUUACCCCCACUUACAGCCCGAGCCCAGCGGUACUACCGCUGGCUCCAGCGGUACUACUGCUGGCUGCAGCGGUACUACCGCUGACCCUCCGGCGGUACUACCGCUGACUGCAGCGGUACUAUCGUGGACCCUCCAGCGGUACUACCGCUGGCUGCAGCGGUACUACCGCUGAGCCCAUGGUAGCGCAAAGAUACUACCGGGCCAACCACCGCCAAGAAAGUCUUCGCAAAAAUGUCCGACGCAGUACAACCGCAAAGAUGACGGUACUAAAAACUUGGAGCGGUACUACCGCUGGCCAGGGGCGGUGCUACCACUAGGGCCAGCGGUACUACCGCCAACUCUAGCGGUACUACCGCUAGGUCCAGCGGUACUACCGCUCGCCACUGAGACAGCCAUAACUUUCGCAUACGAGCUCCGAAUCAAGCAAACCCAAGCUUGUUGGAAAUCUUAAGACCAUGCAGAUAUGAAAAUGACAAUGAUAUAGAGAUGUGAGUCCUCUAAGAAUGAAGAACCGGAAAAAACUCCAACAUCGAAAACUGUUGGAAUUAUGCCCUAGAGGCAAUAAUAAAUAUAUAGUUAUUAUUAUAAUUCUUGUAUCAAGAUAAUAGUUUAUUAUCCAUGCUAUAAUUGUAUUGAAUGAAGACUCAUUUACAUGUGUGGAUACAUAGACAAAACACCGUCCCUAGCAUGCCUCUAGUUGGCUAGCCAGUUGAUCGAUGAUAGUCAGUGUCUUCUGAUUAUGAACAAGGUGUUGUUGCUUGAUAACUGGAUCAUGUCAUUGGGAGAAUCACGUGAUGGACUAGACCCAAACUAAUAGACGUAGCAUGUUGAUCGUGUCAUUUUGUUGCUACUGUUUUCUGCGUGUCAAGUAUUUAUUCCUAUGACCAUGAGAUCAUAUAACUCACUGACACCGGAGGAAUGCUUUGUGUGUAUCAAACGUCGCAACGUAACUGGGUGACUAUAAAGAUGCUCUACAGGUAUCUCCGAAGGUAUUAGUUGAGUUAGUAUGGAUCAAGACUGGGAUUUGUCACUCCGUGUGACGGAGAGGUAUCUCGGGGCCCACUCGGUAAUACAACAUCACACACAAGCCUUGCAAGCAAUGUAACUUAGUGUAAGUUGCGGGAUCUUGUAUUACGGAACGAGUAAAGAGACUUGCCGGUAAACGAGGUUGAAAUAGGUAUACGGAUACUGACGAUCGAAUCUCGGGCAAGUAACAUACCGAAGGACAAAGGGAAUGACAUACGGGAUUAUAUGAAUCCUUGGCACUGAGGUUCAAACGAUAAGAUCUUCGUAGAAUAUGUAGGAUCCAAUAUGGGCAUCCAGGUCCCGCUGUUGGAUAUUGACCGAGGAGUCUCUCGGGUCAUGUCUACAUAGUUCUCGAACCCGCAGGGUCUGCACACUUAAGGUUCGACGUUGUUUUAUGCGUAUUUGAGUNNNNNNNNNNNNNNNNNNNNNNNNNNNNNNNNNNNNNNNNNNNNNNNNNNNNNNNNNNNNNNNNNNNNNNNNNNNNNNNNNNNNNNNNNNNNNNNNNNNNNNNNNNNNNNNNNNNNNNNNNNNNNNNNNNNNNNNNNNNNNNNNNNNNNNNNNNNNNNNNNNNNNNNNNNNNNNNNNNNNNNNNNNNNNNNNNNNNNNNNNNNNNNNNNNNNNNNNNNNNNNNNNNNNNNNNNNNNNNNNNNNNNNNNNNNNNNNNNNNNNNNNNNNNNNNNNNNNNNNNNNNNNNNNNNNNNNNNNNNNNNNNNNNNNNNNNNNNNNNNNNNNNNNNNNNNNNNNNNNNNNNNNNNNNNNNNNNNNNNNNNNNNNNNNNNNNNNNNNNNNNNNNNNNNNNNNNNNNNNNNNNNNNNNNNNNNNNNNNNNNNNNNNNNNNNNNNNNNNNNNNNNNNNNNNNNNNNNNNNNNNNNNNNNNNNNNNNNNNNNNNNNNNNNNNNNNNNNNNNNNNNNNNNNNNNNNNNNNNNNNNNNNNNNNNNNNNNNNNNNNNNNNNNNNNNNNNNNNNNNNNNNNNNNNNNNNNNNNNNNNNNNNNNNNNNNNNNNNNNNNNNNNNNNNNNNNNNNNNNNNNNNNNNNNNNNNNNNNNNAUCGUCGAGCUGUACGUGUGCUGAACGCGGAGGUGCCGUCCGUUCGGUACUAGAUCGUGGGACUGAUCGCGGGAUUGUUCGCGGGGCGGAUCGAGGGACGUGAGGACGUUCCACUACAUCAACCGCGUUCUCUAACGCUUCUGCUGUACGAUCUACAAGGGUACGUAGAUCACUCAUCCCCUCUCGUAGAUGGACAUCACCAUGAUAGGUCUUCGUGCGCGUAGGAAUUUUUUUGUUUCCCAUGCGACGUUCCCCAACAGUGGCAUCAUGAGCUAGGUUCAUGCGUAGAUGUCUUCUCGAGUAGAACACAAAAGGUUUUGUGGGCGGUGAUGUGCGUUUUGCUGCCCUCCUUAGUCUUUUCUUGAUUCCGCGGUAUUGUUGGAUUGAAGCGGCUUGGACCGACAUUACUCGUACGCUUACGAGAGACUGGUUUCAUCGUUACGAGUAACCGCCUUUGCUCAAAGAUGACUGGCAAGUGUCGGUUUCUCCAACUUUAGUUGAAUCGGAUUUGACCGAGGAGGUCCUUGGAUGAGGUUAAAUAGCAACUCAUAUAUCUCCGUUGUGGUGUUUGCGUAAGUAAGAUGCGAUCCUACUAGAUACCCUUGGUCACCACGUAAAACAUGCAACAACAAAAUUAGAGGACGUCUAACUUGUUUUUGCAGGGUAUGAUUGUGAUGUGAUAUGGCCAACGAUGUGAUGUGAUAUAUUGGAUGUAUGAGAUGAUCAUGUUGUAAUAGAAAUAUCGACUUGCAUGUCGAUGGUACGACAACCGGCAGGAGCCAUAGGGUUGUCUUUAUACUAACGUUUGUGCUUGCAGAUGCGUUUACUAUUUUGCUAGGAUGUAGCUUGAGUAGUAAUAGCAUAAGUAGCACGACAACCCCGAUGGCAACACGUUGAUGGAUGAUCAUGGUGUGGCGCCGGUGACAAGAAGAUCGUGCCGGUGCUUUGGUGAUGGAGAUCAAGAAGCACGUGAUGAUGGCCAUAUCAUGUCACUUAUGAAUUGCAUGUGAUGUUAAUCCUUUUUGCACCUUGUUUUGCUUAGAACGACGGUAGCAUUAUGAGGUGAUCUCUCACUAAAAUUUCAAGACGAAAUUGUGUUCUCCCCGACUGUGCACCGUUGCUACAGUUCGUCGUUUCGAGACACCACGUGAUGAUCGGGUGUGAUAGACUCAACGUUCACAUACAACGGGUGCAAAACAGUUGCGCAUGCGGAACACUCGGGUUAAGCUUGACGAGCCUAGCAUGUGCAGACAUGGCCUCGAAACACAUGAGACCGAAAGGUCGAUCAUGAAUCAUAUAGUUGAUAUGAUUAGCAUAGGGAUGCUUACCACUGAAACUAUACUCAACUCACGUGAUGAUCGGACUUGGGAUAGUGUAAGUGGAUCAUGAACCACUCAAAUGACUAGAGAGAUGUACUUUUUGAGUGGGAGUUUAGCAUAUAAUUUGAUUAAGUUGAACUCUAAUUAUCUUGAACAUAGUCUAAGUCCAUUUUGAAUAUAUUUGUGUUGUAGAUCAUGGCUCACGCAAGUGUCAUCCUGAAUUUUAAUACGUUCCUAGAGAAAGCUAAGUUGAAAGAUGAUGGAAGCAACUUUGUAGACUAGGCUCGUAAUCUUAAGCUUAUCUUACAAGCUGGAAAGAAGGAUUAUGUCCUUAAUGCUGCGCUAGGAGAUGAACCACCCGCUACGGCUGAUCAGGAUGUUAAGAACGCUUGGUUAGCACGUAAGGAGGACUACUCAAUAGUUCAAUGUGCAGUCUUGUAUGGCUUAGAACCGGGACUUCAACGUCGCUUUGAGCGUCAUGGAGCAUUUGAGAUGUUCCAGGAGUUGAAGUUUAUCUUUCAGAAGAACGCCCGGAUCGAGAGGUAUGAGACCUCCGAUAAAUUCUAUGCUUGCAAGAUGGAGGAAAACUCGUCUGUCAGUGAACAUGUGCUCAAAAUGUCUGGGUACUCAAACCGUCUAGCUGAACUGGGGAUUGAACUCCCGCAAGAAGCUAUCACUGACAGAAUCCUUCAAUCACUGCCGCCAAGCUAUAAAGGCUUUGUGUUGAACUACAACAUGCAAGGGAUGAACAAGUCUCCCGGCGAGUUGUUUGCGAUGCUGAAAGUCGCAGAGUCUGAACUCCGUAAAGAGCAUCAAGUGUUGAUGGUGAGCAAGACCACUAGUUUCAAGAGAAACGGCAAAGGCAAGAAGGGCAAUUCGAAGAAGAGCGGCAAGCCUGUUGCCAAUCCGCCGAAGAAACCCAUGGCUGGACCUAAGCCUGAAACAGAGUGCUUCUAUUGCAAGGGUAUGGGUCACUGGAAGCGCAAUUGCCCCAAGUAUCUGGCAGAUAAGAAGGCGGGCAAAGAAAAAUCAGGUAUAUUUGAUAUACAUGUUAUUGAUGUGUACUUAACCGGCUCUCGUAGUAGUGCCUGGGUAUUCGAUACCGGUUCUGUUGCUCACAUUUGCAACUCGAAGCAGGAACUGCGGAAUAGACGAAGGCUGACGAAAGACGAAGUGACGAUGCGCGUAGGAAACGGUUCCAAGGUUGAUGCAAUCGCCGUCGGUGCAGUGUCACUUCAACUACCAUCGGGAUUAGUGAUGAACUUAAAUCAUUGUUAUUUAGUGCGUGCGUUGAGCAUGAACAUUAUAUCUGGAUCUUGUUUAUUGCGAGACGGUUACUCUUUUAAGUCUGAGAAUAAUGGUUGUUCUAUUUCUAUGAGUAACAUCUUUUAUGGUCAUGCACCGAAUGUGAGAGGAUUGUUCAUAUUGAAUCUUGAUAGAGAUACGCAUAUACAUAACAUUGAGACCAAAAGAGUUAGAGUAAACAAUGAUAGCGCCAUAUUUUUGUGGCACUGCCGCUUGGGUCAUAUUGGUGUAAAGCGCAUGAAGAAACUCCAUGUUGAUGGACUUUUGGAGUCACUUGACUUUGAUUCACUUGACACGUGCGAACCAUGCCUCAUGGGCAAGAUGACUAAGACUCCGUUCUCCGGAACAAUGGAGCGUGCAAGUGACUUGUUGGAAAUCAUACAUACCGAUGUGUGUGGUCCAAUGAGCGUGGAGGCACGCGUCGGAUAUCGUUAUUUUCUCACCUUCACUGACGAUUUAAGUAGAUAUGGUUAUGUCUACUUGAUGAAGCACAAGUCUGAAACAUUUGAAAAGUUCAAGCAAUUUCAGAGUGAAGUGGAAAAUCAUCGUAACAAGAAGAUCAAGUUCCUACGGUCUGAUCGUGGGGGUGAAUAUCUGAGUUUCGAGUUUGGUACUCACUUAAGACAAUGUGGAAUUGUUUCGCAGUUAACACCGCCUGGAACACCACAGCGUAAUGGUGUGUCCGAACGUCGUAAUCGUACUUUGUUAGAAAUGGUGCGAUCUAUGAUGUCUCUUACUGAUUUGCCGUUAUCGUUUUGGGGUUAUGCAUUAGAAACAGCUGCAUUCACUUUAAAUAGGGCACCAUCAAAAUCCGUUGAGACGACACCAUACGAACUGUGGUAUGGCAAAAGGCCAAAGUUGUCGUUUCUUAAAGUUUGGGGAUGUGAUGCUUAUGUCAAAAAGCUUCAGCCUGAAAAGCUGGAACCCAAAGCGGAAAGGUGCGUCUUCAUAGGUUACCCAAAAGAGACAGUUGGGUACACCUUCUAACUCAAAUCCGAGGGCAAAGUGUUUGUUGCUAAGAACGGAACUUUUCUCGAGAAGGAGUUUCUCUCGAGAGAAUUGAGUGGGAGGAAGAUAGAACUUGACGAGGUUGUCGAACCUCUCAUCCCUCUGGAUGGUGGCGCAGGGCAAGGGGAAACCUCUGUCAUUGCGACGCCGGUUGAGGAGGAAGUUAAUGAUGAUGAUCAUGAAACUCCAGUUCAAGUUUCUGUUGAACCACGCAGGUCGACGAGAUCACGCGCUGCUCCAGAGUGGUACGGUAAUCCCGUCUUAUCAAUCAUGUUGUUAGACAACAAUGAACCUGCAAAUUAUGAAGAAGCAAUGGUGGGCCCAGAUUCCAACAAAUGGCUAGAAGCCAUGAAAUCCGAGAUAGGAUCCAUGUAUGAGAACAAAGUGUGGACUUUGGAGAUACUGCCUGAGGGCCGCAAGGCUAUUCAGAACAAAUGGAUCUUUAAGAAGAAGACGGACGCUGACGGUAAUGUGACCGUUUAUAAAGCUCGACUUGUGGCAAAGGGUUUUUCACAAGUUCCAGGAAUUGACUACGAUGAGACUUUCUCUCCCGUAGCGAUGCUUAAGUCCGUAAGAAUCAUGUUAGCAAUAGCUGCAUUUUUCGAUUAUGAAAUCUGGCAGAUGGAUGUCAAAACGGCGUUCCUUAACGGUUUCCUUAAGGAAGAGUUGUAUAUGAUGCAACCCGAAGGUUUUUUCGAUUCUAAAAAUGCUGACAAGGUGUGCAAGCUCCAGCGAUCCAUUUAUGGACUGGUGCAAGCAUCUCGGAGUUGGAACAAACGCUUUGAUGAGGUGAUCAAAGCAUUUGGGUUUAUACAAGUGGUUGGAGAAUCUUGUAUUUACAAGAAAGUGAGUGGGAGCUCUGUGGCGUUUCUAAUAUUAUAUGUGGAUGACAUAUUACUGAUUGGAAACAAUGUAGAGCUUUUGGAGAGCAUAAAAGGUUACUUGAAUAAAAGUUUCUCUAUGAAGGACCUAGGAGAAGCUGCUUACAUUCUAGGCAUUAAGAUCUAUAGGGAUAGAUCAAAACGCCUGAUAGGACUUUCACAAAGCACAUACCUUGAUAAAGUUUUGAAGAGGUUCAAAAUGGAACAGUCCAAGAAAGGGUUCUUGCCAGUGUUACAAGGUACGAGAUUGAGUAAGACUCAGUGCCCAGCAACUGAUGAAGAUAGAGAGCAUAUGCGCUCCGUCCCCUAUGCUUCAGCCAUAGGCUCUAUCAUGUAUGCCAUGCUGUGCACUAGACCGGAUGUUAGCCUGGCCAUAAGUAUGGCAGGUAGGUUCCAGAGUAAUCCAGGAGUGGAUCACUGGAUGGCGGUCAAGAAUAUCCUGAAGUACCUGAAAAGGACUAAGGAGAUGUUUCUCGUGUAUGGAGGUGACGAAGAGCUCGCCGUAAAAGGUUACGUCGAUGCAAGCUUUGACACAGAUCCGGACGACUCUAAGUCGCAAACCGGAUACGUAUUUAUUCUUAAUGGGGGUGCAGUAAGCUGGUGCAGUUCCAAGCAAAGCGUCGUAGCAGAUUCUACAUGUGAAGCGGAGUACAUGGCUGCCUCGGAGGCGGCUAAGGAGGGUGUCUGGAUGAAGCAGUUCAUGACGGAUCUUGGAGUGGUGCCAAGUGCACUGGAUCCAAUAACCUUGUUCUGUGACAAUACUGGUGCCAUUGCCUUAGCAAAGGAACCAAGGUUUCACAAGAAGACCAGACACAUCAAACGACGCUUCAACCUCAUCCGCGACUACGUCGAGGAGGAGGACGUAAAUAUAUGCAAAGUGCACACGGAUCUGAAUGUAGCAGACCCGCUGACUAAACCUCUUCCAUGGCCAAAACAUGAUCGACACCAAACUGUAUGGGUGUUAGAUUUAUUACAAUGUAAUUCACAUGGUGAUGUGAGGGCUAGAUUAUUGACUCUAGUGCAAGUGGGAGACUGUUGGAAUUAUGCCCUAGAGGCAAUAAUAAAUGUAUAGUUAUUAUUAUAAUUCCUGUAUCAAGAUAAUAGUUUAUUAUCCAUGCUAUAAUUGUAUUGAAUGAAGACUCAUUUACAUGUGUGGAUACAUAGACAAAACACCGUCCCUAGCAUGCCUCUAGUUGGCUAGCCAGUUGAUCGAUGAUAGUCAGUGUCUUCUGAUUAUGAACAAGGUGUUGUUGCUUGAUAACUGGAUCACGUCAUUGGGAGAAUCACGUGAUGGACUAGACCCAAACUAAUAGACGUAGCAUGUUGAUCGUGUCAUUUUGUUGCUACUGUUUUUUGCGUGUCAAGUAUUUAUUCCUAUGACCAUGAGAUCAUAUAACUCACUGACACCGGAGGAAUGCUUUGUGUGUAUCAAACGUCGCAACGUAACUGGGUGACUAUAAAGAUGCUCUACAGGUAUCUCCGAAGGUAUUAGUUGAGUUAGUAUGGAUCAAGACUGGGAUUUGUCACUCCGUGUGACGGAGAGGUAUCUCGGGGCCCACUCGGUAAUACAACAUCACACACAAGCCUUGCAAGCAAUGUAACUUAGUGUAAGUUGCGGGAUCUUGUAUUACGGAACGAGUAAAGAGACUUGCCGGUAAAACGAGAUUGAAAUAGGUAUGCGGAUACUGACGAUCGAAUCUCGGGCAAGUAACAUACCGAAGGACAAAGGGAAUGACAUACGGGAUUAUAUGAAUCCUUGGCACUGAGGUUCAAACGAUAAGAUCUUCGUAGAAUAUGUAGGAUCCAAUAUGGGCAUCCAGGUCCCGCUAUUGGAUAUUGACCGAGGAGUCUCUCGGGUCAUGUCUACAUAGUUCUCGAACCCGCAGGGUCUGCACACUUAAGGUUCGACGUUGUUUUAUGCGUAUUUGAGUNNNNNNNNNNNNNNNNNNNNNGGAAACAAAGAUUGAUAUAUAGGAUGACCUCAUUUGAUUACCGGAAGGUUUUCGGAGUUACCGGGAAUGUACCGGGAAUGACGAAUGGGUUCCGGGAGUUCACCGGAGGGGGGCAACCCACUCCGGGGAAGCCCAUGGGCAUUUGGGGGGGUCACACCAGCCCUUAGUGGGCUGGUGGGACAGCCCACCAAUCCCCUAUGCGCCAAGAGAGAAAAAAUCAAAGGAAAGAAAAAAAGGGAAGAAGUGGGAAGGGGGAAGGACUCCCUCCCACCAAACCAAGUAGGACUCGGUUUGGGGGGGGGGGGGGAGCCCUCCCCCCUGGCUCGGCCGACCCCUUGGGGAUCCCUUGGACCCCAAGGCAAGGUCCCCCUCCCUCCUCCUAUAUAUAUGGGGCUUUUAGGGCAGAUUUGAGACGACUUUCUCACGGCUGCCCGACCACAUACCUCCAUAGUUUUUCCUCUAGAUCGUGUUUCUGCGGAGCUCGGGCGGAGCCCUGCUGAGACAAGAUCAUCACCAACCUCCGGAGCGCCGUCACGCUGCCGGAGAACUCUUCUACCUCUCCGUCUCUCUUGCUGGAUCAAGAAGGCCGAGAUCAUCGUCGAGCUGUACGUGUGCUGAACGCGGAGGUGCCGUCCGUUCGGUACUAGAUCGUGGGACUGAUCGCGGGAUUGUUCGCGGGGCGGAUCGAGGGACGUGAGGACGUUCCACUACAUCAACCGCGUUCUCUAACGCUUCUGCUGUACGAUCUACAAGGGUACGUAGAUCACUCAUCCCCUCUCGUAGAUGGACAUCACCAUGAUAGGUCUUCGUGCGCGUAGGAAAAUUUUUGUUUCCCAUGCGACGUUCCCCAACAAAAACAUCAUAGUAGAUGCAUAUGGACUCCGUUUUUGAUGAACUCGAGCUUGUCACGAAGAUGACCAUAAGCUCUAAAACUCACAAAGAGAAACACCAAACAAGAACCAAGAAGUAUGAUGCAAGGAUGCAAAUGGUUUGAGCUCUCAACGAACGAUACGAUCAAGCUACUCACUUGAGAUCCCCCCUUGAUAGUACAACAAUCUAUCCUAAACAGAAAACCUAUCAAGGGCAAACCUAUACCUUGCACCUCGUCCUCUUGAGCUAGAUGUUGAUGAUCUUGGCUUCCUCAAGAUGGACCACCUUUCUUGAUUGUGUUGGCUUGAUGAAGACUAGUUGAUUGCUCCCCCAUACUCACUAUGGGUGAGCCACUCUUUAGCAAAUCUUCACAAGUCCAUUGCCACCACAAUGGACAGCAAGCUUCAAGCAUGAUAUCUUCGUGCUGAUCCACUUGAACUUGCACAUCGCAAUCUUGAUGACGAUCACAACUUGACGUCAUACUUCAUGAGUUGUAUGAGAUCUUCCCUUUUGACGCAAGCCCAUGAAAACACACCUAACCCCCACAUAGAACUCUCACGAAGACCAUGGGUUAGUACACAAACACGUAAUGGACAAUGCUUACCAUACCAUGGGAUCACUUGAUCCCUCUCGGUACAUCUUGUAUGUUUUGUGUGUUGAUCAUAUUGAUUUACUCUUUGUCUGAGAUCUUGAUCAACCAUGUGUCUCUAUGACCAUUCUUUGGAUAAUACCUUGAAUACCAUCUUGGUCAUCAUAUAAACUCCUUGAACCCAACAGAUGGACUUCAAGAAGUGCCUAUGGACAAAUCCUAUAAAUGUAACUUAAGGCAACCAUUAGUCCAUAGGAAUUGUCAUCAAUUACCAAAACCACAUAUGGAGAUAUAUGCUCUAACACUCGACCCCGUAUCUAUGCACAGUGAAGGUCUCAGCACUAGAAUCUAUGGACCCCGACCUGGACCAAGUUGUCAGAUUCCUCAGAUGCUUUCGGUGCCUGGAGAAGCUAUAUAUCGAGGUGAUGAUCCUUUCAUGUUAAAUGUUAACCACAAUGGAGUUCAAUUUUGGAAACCUUGCAAAUCAAAUAGGUCCCUUGUGUGUCCAAGCACUAAUACCUUCUCUUCUUUUGCAGAUACGAUUAGGACACAUAGUGGAUAAUGUGAUACAAUAUAACAAUCCCGUCGAAUGCCUCGAUCUCUAUCUCUGAGAAAUUACUUUGAACUCCUAUCGAGGGACCUUACCGGAGAUUAAAUUUGCCAUGUUCUUUGUUGUGAUAGUAAGUGUGAUAAAGAUAAUGAGAUUUUCCCUNNNNNNNNNNNNNNNNNNNNNNNNNNNNNNNNNNCUACAUUUACUCCGCAAAAAAGAAUGGUUUGCUGAUCAGCUUCGGUGACUAGGACAGAAUGAAAAAGGCUCUACAGAAGCUCGAUUUCAUUUUGUAACUUCAGCUAAUAGACUAUUUGAAAGUCCUUAUGUCAAGCCCAUACAUGACAUGUCACUGGCGGAUCCCUUUGCGGAAAUAUUGAAGUUGUGAAUCUAGUUGUAACAUCAGCAUGAACCUCUCAUGUGUUCAUGUUCAGCUGAUCAGCGCGGGCAUCUCGAGCUGCAUGACAAAGUUUCUACAUAAGCUGAAUUUCAUUUCUAUUAUCGGUUUGAACCUUGUAAUCUUCGAGUUUGAGCCUUGUAAUUCUAGAAUUUGAAUUUUUGUACUACUUUUGUCAUUUAUGAUACAAUCAUUCAAAUGACAUCGUAUGAGACUCGUAUUUUGGUAGUACAAUUUUCCUAAGCGUGCAAUGUACGAUUAGUAUUUGGACCUUAAUAUGCAAUUGAUGGUUAAUAUCUCGACCUUAAGAAGCACAACCACGAUCGAGGGUAUCUUGCAGGGCUCCAAUGGCCCUCCGAGUGGCUGACGACGACGAGUGCGAGAUCACCAUGCAUGUCGUAGUGGAUACGCACAGAAGGUUCACGUACCGAGCUCUCGGUGGUGUACACCAACCAUCCGAUCUGGGUGGAGAACUCCUAUGUUAUGGACGUAUUGCUUGACAAGGACAUUACAAAAUGGUUUGGUUCGACCUUAUGUUCCUUGUGGCGCUCUACUCUCGCAUCCCUCUGCGUGCUCUGCUCUCGUGCCCCUCUGUGCAUGCUCUGCCAACGGUUGGGGCCUGCCCUCAAUCAUGUUCGGAGCUCCAUAUGCAUGCGGUUGCGCCACAUGUGUCGCCCCAUGCAGUUACGUGCUCCAUGAGUAAAUCACGCGCUGCAAAAACUGCCAUCCAGACAUGUCGGUUUUCCAGGACGUCUCGCUCUCAUUUAUACAUGCGGCCACUAAGCAUAGUCUCUUCAUGCUUUCGAUCGCACCCCACAACACAAUAAGCACACCCUCGACGACACAAUAAGCGGCACUCUAAUGGAGUUCGGCGUGCAUCAUGUGGACACCCACUUGAGUAAGACGGACCUCACGAUGGUGUACACCGUCGACCCGGCCGUGGUGGAGAACUCCAUCAACACCAUGCAGCUAUUGCUUGCUGCAGAUGACAAGUACAAAGUGGUCAGCUUCGACCUCGCGUACACCGGUGGUCGUGCCGGGCAUGAUGAGAAGGUUGUCUUGCCCAGUUGUGCGUGCGCCAUCACGCCCUCCUUUAUCACUACUGCCUGGCCACAAAGCCUUGCGAGUGUUUCACGAGGUUUGUCAACAACCACGACUACAGGCUUGCUACGGUGGACACCACCAACGAUCCAAAGGUGCUCAAGACUUCAGGCUAGGCAUGCUAGAAGCUUGUCGACAUCCACGACCACUACAAGGUCUGGGGAAGCAAGAAGGACAAGGAUUCCCAUGUUGACCUCGUCGUGGCCAUCAUUGACCCCUACUACAGAGACAUGAAGACCGAGUGCGACAAAAAUAAGCUUGUCUGGCACAAGGCGUGGGUGAGAGACCAGAUGAAUAUCACAUCUAGACCACGACCAAGGAAGCAUACGCAUGCUACGUGAUGUUCACGCAGAUUUUUGACAUGAUGAAGUGCCUCCUACCUGAAGACGAUGAGGGAUCAAGCCGCAAGCACAGUGAUGGCGGCAAGCGUCGCAAUAAGAAGAUGAUUUGAUGAUCGUUUCUUAUAGUUUAUUAUGCAUGUAAUAGUUUAUUGAGGUGGGCGCCAAUGUUAUGUGUGUAGUCACUUAUGUAUUUGGAUGCUUAAUUAGGUUAUGUAAUCAUGUUUUUAUGUGUGUAAUUGUUUAUUGAGGUGUUCCAAUGUUAUGUGUGUAGUCAUUUAUGUAUUUCAUGUUUAAUUUGGUUAUGCAAUAAUGUUAUUUGUUUGUGUUAUUUUCGCUCAUCGCACAUAAUUCAUCUGAGUUAUCUGUAU